UCCGAACUAGACGAGCUACAUAGAUUCACUGGCACUGACGACAUUGUCGUGGACUAACGAUGAAUUCUUCUCCACUGGUUCUUUCCAAACCUCAGUCAUAUUUGUAUUAACAGGAUAGGUAAUAAGUUCACGAAUGUUCAUGGGUUGGAUAACGUUUGGGUCGGCUCCAAAGAGAAGAUGAGCGAAUGAUUCUUGUGCCUUCUCUGAGUUGUGACGUCCAUCGAAGUAAAGGUAAGACCUUUGAUACUCGCACAGCUUCGAGUGCACGUUGGGUAAACCGCAACCAUAUGCGUUGUGAGUCCCAGUACCGCAACACGAUACAUCGGUACGGGAGAAACCUAGUCAAUCACAACAAGUAUGAUCAAACACUAGUUCUAAAUAACGAUAUUAACUAUUACUAGUGUAUGUAUAUAUUAUAAUACUUACGGAAAUUCAUGUUCCUUUGUGUCCUGCGAAGAAUGACAUUGUAGAAAUCGAAGACGGUGAAUUGGAAACCCGGUUUGGCUGUCGCUAAGUCAUUCAUCAUCGGUCCGAUUUUAGCGUUGUGCAGUUUAGCCAAAUCGUUGAGUUUCUCGUAACAGUCGUUACCAGUGUUAAAAUCUUGUCUCACGAUAGGUAAGCAACCUAGAGGCGGUAACGUAUAUACAACGAACUUACUAGCUCUGAAUGAAUACAACAUCUGCAAUAUUCACAUAAAUUAUUUACAGUAACGAAUAUUAUGGAUACUAUUAAGUAUUAACUAAUUUUCCCAUUCAUUUUUAAGUGUAAAAGGACUUAAUUACCUCGAUAUGGUAUUUUAGUCUGCUAUUGACUGAAGUGACAAAAGCUUCUUGAGCAGAGCCAUCGGCAGUAGGAUUGCUUUUGGUGAAGUUUAAGUAAUCUUCCAUACCCAUGAAUAUCAUAAACAAUGAUUUCAGAAUGUAAUCAUCGUUCCAGUUUGAUCUCAUCUGAGCGAAUUUCCUCACUUGUUGAUUCAGAUUCAACUACAAAAAAAAUAAAUAAAUUAAACGAUGCGUUACAAAAGGUACUAGAAUUUUGAUUAUAAUUAUUUAACCAAUAAUUUAUGACAAUUAUGACUGAUAAUAAUUAUAAUAGUAAUACACUGUACCUAUAUAUAUAUAUAUAUAUAAAACUAACGAAGCUUACAGAGUCUUUGGGAGUCCCAAGUAUAGUAGCGGAGUCUACGGCAAAGCUAGCUCCUCGUGAGACAUCGGCGCCGGGUUUAAGCGCCGGCGGUAAAUCGUGUGAAAUCCCCAUGAAUUUUGCUGUCAUUUUAUUCACCCCUCAUUAAUGUUAUGUAGCCCUGGGACGGAUCCGGAUAUCCGGGAAAUUUAGGGUAUCCGGAUCCGGAUCCGGAUCCGUCGGAUCCGUGGAUUUAAUAUUCGGAUCCGGAUUCGUGGUUUCCGGAUAUCUGGGUUUCGGAUAUCCGUCUCGAUAUUCUAUUAUCCGCGGAUAUCCGGAUCCGGAUCCGGAUCCGUCAAAAUAAAUAAAAAUAAUUUUUUUAACAAAAAAUACAAUUUUUUUUUAAUAUAAUACAUAAAUUAAAUAUUUAUAAAUAUAUUUAUAUAUGUUUAUAAUAUUGUAAAAACUAAAAUAUAAUAUUAUAAGAUUAAUUCAUGUAUAAAUAUUAAUAUAUCAAAUAUAAAUAUUAAUAAAAUAUAAAAAUUUAAUGUAUUUUAAAAAUACGGAUCCGGAUCCGGAUAUCCGGACCUAAAAAUUAAGAUAUCCGGAUCCGGAUUCGGUUUGCACGGAUCCAAGAUUUUACUAUCCGGAUUCGGAUCCGGGCACCCCGGAUAUCCUAUUUUCGGAGCGGAUCUCGGAUCGAAUCCGGAUCUCGGAUAAUAAGUCCGAGGCCUAAUGUUAUGUACUUUAAUUACAAAUCUAUUUUUACACAUAUUUAUACGAUGAUGUGCAAAACAUGAACUACUCUAUGUCUCUGAUCUUUUCGCAUUAGAACUCUAUUUUAAAUUAUUUAUUGAUUUAAUAUAUAAGCUCACAAAUACGCCAUAUAAUUUAUGGCUUUUUUUUUCUUUAUUAAAAUAAAUACGCCAUAAAUUAUAUGUUUUCCCAGUUUUUUUUUUCGAUCAGAAAAAAAUAGUUGUUUCUAGGAUUAAAGGUGAAAACAGAAAAAACAAAAACAAUAAUAUUUAAGUAAAAAAACAAUAAAAUUAUGUUGUUCAAAAAAAGAAAAACAAUAAACUUACCAAUAAAGUCCGGCACGAUUUUUCCAUCCGACAACUUGCCGUUGGGGUCAUCUCGGGAUUUACCGUAAGGCCAGAAGUUUUGAGGAAGUGUACCAUUUGUAACGAACUUUCUAUUUCCGGCGUCAAAGUUGGAAUCUCCGAAUGUGAACAAUGCCACCGCCGGAAUAUUUUGUCCGGCGACGAUGAUAGGGUUGUGGAACAGUGUGUAUACAAGAAGUACCCCUAAAACACUCGCUAAACUGAAGGUGGUUGCCAUUGUUGUGGAACAGAGGCUGGUAAGAUAUGUUUGAUAAGUUCCCGUGUCCACUACUAGAUUUAUAUAUAUAUUUGAAGCAAAAAUAGGUAUAAAUAAUACAGUUUUAAAUGACAAGUUUUGUUGAAUGUAACAUGUCUAAAACAUGUGAAAUUGCAGAAAAGAAAUAAUGCUUGUAAUAUAUAUGCUGACAAAAAAUAUAAUUAUAUAUAAAAAACAAAGUGACAGCGGUGUGAAUGUGAAGUGUUCACUAUUCAGUCUCACGUUUUUGAUAUGUGUUAUUGGUUGAAACUAAUUCCACGCGUACCUAACUUUUUUUUUGUUUUUUUGUUUUUUUGUUUGUGACUUGUACUUAACUAUUCAUAAAUUUAACGGACCCAAAAUUUAACCAUCUCUUAAAUUCUAGUAAUUAUAUAUAUGUUUUUAGUUAAUCUUUGAAAAUUUAAUAACUCAUUACAUUUUCAUUUUUGCGAUUAUGUUAUAUUUCAAAAUAAUUUCCUUUUUAACUCGUAGUUGACAAAGCAUAAUAGAGUUAAAAGGGGUUGACAAACCAGAGUGUUAAAAGUAAUUACGUAAAUCAUUUUAAAUUGUUAAAUGUUUUUGAUAUUAAAUUAAACCAUUUUAAAUAAAAUAUAGUUGGACAAAAGAAUAGUAUGUUUUAAAAAUAUUUAUUUUUUAUUAAUCUUAUAAAAUAGUAAUAUAGUGAUAUGUUUUGCAUAGACCAAUCUUGUAAUAUUUGAUCCAAAAAAAGACCAAUCUUGUAAUGAUAUUGUUUAAAAGGUAUUGUUCAAAUAUCACUUAACCUAUAUAAAAAUCAUCAAAAGACUGACACAUAUAAAUUCACACAUAUAAUAUAUCAAGAUCUAAGAUUAUCAGAGGUAUUUUGGGUCUAAACUGUAAACACAUAUAAAUUCACACUGUAAUUCAGCUAUUAACUCUUUCGGUAAUAAUAAAUGAUCGGAUUACAAGAGAAAUGUAACUUAUAGGGUAAAUCAUCGACCAUCCUCUUUCUAAAUAUACGAUAUAUAGAAUUUUAAUCUUCAGACGAUGCUCUUCACUCAUAUUCAACAUAAUUUCCGAACACAUCACUCUUGGUGGAGCAUGAUUACUUAGGCAUUACAAAACAUUUAUCCGAAGCUGCUAGUUCUAAUGGUAAAACCUUCUUCCCCAAGAGUAGAGGUGCAAAGUUCUGAGUCUCAGCAGUUGCAGAGAGGGGGAUCUUAUUAAACAACCAAUUCUUGUCCCAAUAAGAGCUAUAAAGAUCCAUACAGAAAAUUGUGCCUCAUCCUUCCAAAAUAUGGAAACUAUCUUAUGCUCACCCACUAUUUCACUAGCCUUUGACACUCGUGGCUAAUGUAGAAGCCACUAAAACAGACAUUUGCAGUCGUAAACGAACGGCUGGGAAGACAAGAGAGUUCUGGACAAUUUUUCAGGGAGAAAGAGUGACGCUAUAGGCGGCCCAACCUUGUAAAGUAACUAAGAAGGUUUAAUUUUCUGAUGGAUGAGAGUUCAAUCUGCGAUACCAUAGCCUUAUGUCCUAACCAAAUGUUACCACUCCACCCUAAGUGAGAGUAGCUCGUCUUUGUUAGAAUAUAUGAUUAGAUAUGAUUAGAUAUGUAUCACAAAGAUAUUUACAUAUCUAAUCAUAUCUAAUCAUAUAUUCUAACAGUAAAGACCAUCGCCGAAGAAGAAUAACGUCUGUGCUAAGGAAACGGUGGGGAAGUGAAGAAGAAGAAAUGAGAAGAAGGAGAGAGAAGAGGUGAGAUUUGGGAUUCGCCAUUGAGAGAAACCAAACCGAUGUCUUGUUGUUUGGUCUGAGUUUUCUAUCGACGGUGCUUAGUUAGUUAGUUAGUUAAAGACUUAAAGUUGUGGUUAGAGCCACGUGACCAACGAUUGCAUUUGUUUAAAACAGAAAAGUUACAUUGAAGACUUUUUUCUUGGUUAGUUUUUUUUAUUUUUACCAACAACUAUCUUAUUACUCCAAAUUUGAGAUGGUCUGGAUAAUUAGACCGGAAUAGAAUAAUCAAUGUAACAAAGCUCUCUUUGAAAUGUCGCAAUCUUAGUUAAAGAAUUCGUAAUUCCAUUAUGUGCCCUUGGGAUAUGAGAUAUCUCAAACCGUAGAAAACAUAUCUGCAGCGUUUUUAUCGUUUUCAAUUCUGUUACAAAAGUAGGCCAAGCUUGAGGUUCAUUUAUCAUUGUGAUCAGAUCCUUACAGUCUGUCCCAACGCGCUGACAUAACGACUGUUGUAGCAUGCUCUCCAUUGCCCAGCGCAUCGCUUCUAUUUCCGAAUGUAAAGUAGCCUCUCAUCUCCUUAAGUUUCGUGUUCCCAUGAGCUGAAUCUUUCCAAGAUUAUCCUUACAACACUGCCACAACCACUGAACUGUUCUGUUGAGGUCCAUUUACCAUCCACGAUACAUAUAUUAUCCAGGCUUAUGAUCUGAGAUCUUCACUAUUAUGCUAUUGUGGAGCGGGAGUGACCGUCUCAUUUGCAUUAAACCAUGUUUGACAUUCACUUUCUGUAUAUCUGACUAGCUCCAAAGGAUCUCUGUCAAUCCCCCUAAAACGUUUGUCAUUCCGAACGUUGAAGGUAUACCAUAUUAUCCAAAGUUAAGGAUCCAUGUCCAGUUCUGUUCAACAUUGUUAUUCUUUCUCCAGAAGAAAGAGUCCAUAUUGGCAUAAAUGCUAGGUAAAUGAAAGAUGUUGGGGUGGAAUUAUUGUUGGGGUCAAAAUCGGUCACGACGGAAUCAAUGUCGGAAAUCUCCCGAGAAAUAUCUUCUUCGAAAAAAGAAAGAUAAAAUUCAAAAGAAUAGAGAAGCGAGAAAAACUAAGUCAAGUUUCGUAACAAAUCCGAAAAAGAUUCAUGCAAUAAAUCUUCGAGAAAGGGUGCUCAAAGCCUCAGACAACGGAUCCCGGGAAGCAAAACACCCAUCGUCCAACUCGCCAAAUGGGCGAGUUGGACCAACCACGCCGUCCAACUCGCCAAAUGAGCGAGUUGGACCGACCACGCCGUUCAACUUGACAAAUGAGCGAGUUGUACCGACCAUGCCGUCCAACUCGUCAAAUGAGCGAGUUGGGCCGACCACGCCGUCCAACUCGUCAAAUGAGCGAGUUGGGCCGACCACGCCGUCCAACUCGUCAAAUGAGCGAGUUGGACCGACCACAACAUCCAACUCGCCCGUUUUGCGUAAGCUGCCUUCAUCCCAUACUCGUAGCUCCCUUUUCUCUGAUCGGAUCGAACUGACUCUUGUUUCGUCCCGAUCGGAGUCACCAUCGGAACUUUACAGCUUGGAAACCACAAAGAACUCGUUCUCUCGAAGAAAAUUUGGAUUGAUGUAUAAAACGGCAACAAUUAAACUAAACACCUUUAACUGCUUACGCUAUACGAAGAAUUUUGAUUUUCUUCGGAAUUGACGUCGUUUUGAAAACGCUAUUUCUAUAAAAUCAUAAAAAUGCUUAAGUCGAAAAACGGUCUGAAAGGAUCCAUAACCCGGCAAAAAUCCCACUCAUGAUUUUAUGCGAAAUCGAGCCCAAUCGUUAUGACGGUUUAUCCUUUUCUUAUGCAGGAGAAGAUAAAUGUCAAGUUCAGAAGAUAAAUGUGAAGUUUCCAAAGAUAAACAUGAAUAUCGAAGGAAAAUGAAAUAUUUUCGCGAAAUGAUAAACUCGACCGAGGGCAGAAAGGAAAAGUGCAAACCGCCUCUUGGAGAGUAUAUAAGGAUGUCGAGGUUGAAGAUGCUAAAGACAAUUGUUUUUACUCUUAGAACUCUCACUAUUCUCGACAUGUUCUAUUUCUAUGACUGGCACUCGAUUACUAGACGAACUCGCCCAGGUAGUUCGAUCUCAUCUUUUGUAAUGAUCGCAACACUCUUACGCGGAUUUGAAAUAAGAUCAACUUUUUCUAAACUUAUUUAUUGUCUUUACAUAUUUUCCGCAUUUAUUUGGUCACUUGCCGUUGGCUCUCGCAGAGAAUCCAGGACCUCUGGGAAAGUUAGGGUUUCUUGACUUUCUUAAUUUAAACGGAAAUCGAGAGUGCGGAUUUUGUUUCCCACAGUUUGGCGCAAGAAGUAGGGGGUACGGAUUAAUCUAACUCAUAGCCGCAAAACGCUUAAUCAAAACGAUGUCUGGAAAUACGAAAGACAAAAUCGCAGUUCGCAACAACGCUGGUAAAACAACUCCAGCAGCGACUGCUUCUAGUGCCAACGCUUACGCAAACGCCGUAGCGCUAAAAAAAAUCGAAAACCUAGUCGCGAUUUCUCUAUCUAAACAGAAAGGGCAACGAUAAAAUCUACCAAACCCCGCAAAACUUGUCUCAUUAGCGAGUUGGAGAAAUCUCAGCGCAUAAGAAUUUGAGCAAAAGACGUUUUCCGAGAACUUUUCGGAAAAAUAAAAUUUUGUUCUCCUCAAGACCUUGGAAAAACCUUAGGUUACCCUCGGGAAAAGGAAGCACAGCAAAUCGGGUUCGUAACUCACCGCUGAACGUUUUCAAAAAUAAAUUCCGUAAAAGCCUUCUGAGAAAUCGCUUUGACUUCCCGAAGUCGUGGAGAAAAUCUAGGUUACUCGCAGAAAUAGAAGAACAGAAAAUCGAGUUGCCAACUCCCCACUGUUGUAUUUCUUUCGAAUAAUUUUCGAAGAAACGAAGUUGAUCCCUACUGAAUCACUCGAAACCUAAAACGGCUGACGAAGACUAAACUAAGCAAAACUGGAGAUCGUAUUCCUCACUGCUAAACGUCUUCUGAAACCUAAGGUUUCGUAAAAACUCAAGCUUUGAUUCUAUAGUAACAUAUUCAGCGAAUUCUUGAUACUUGGCUACCAAGCUUAUUUCGAAAAUAGUACUCAAUACUCCCUCAGAUCGAUCUUAGGGAAAUGAGGAAGUUUGACCCCAAUAAUAACUCGUCACAGCCAAUGUUUCUGAUACUUGAACUCAGAACUAAAGUUUCGGAAGAACAGCAAAACAUGACUUUUUCAAAAAGGAGUCUUCUACAGCCGAACUCAAAAACAUGUUUACGAAACGACUUUCGCAAAACUAAACUCAUGAUAUUUUGCGGAAUAACUUUCAUAAAAGCUCGACAACAUUUUUUGAAAACAAGUUUUGUAAAAUUAAACUCGACAAUGUUUUAUGGACCGUUGAAUAUGUUGAAUAUGUUGUAAAACACCUUAGCCGCCUCAACUAUACGAGUAAUUUGAACCUUUUUAUAAAAAUUGACGUUGUAUCAAUGGAGAAGAUAAAAGUCAAGUUCGGAAGAUAAUUGUCAAGUUUGAAAGGAUAAACACCAAUAUCCAAAGGGGCGCACAGACACGAGAAGAGUAAGGGGAAGUGAGCAAGCAAAAUGGAGAAGAGGUAAACCAAAAUCUUCGAGAGAACUAAGACUGCCAUUGAACUUUAGGGAACUUAAAACCUAUGUGGAUAGUCUAGCGAACUCAGUCUUAGGCAAUUUUUCCUGUCUCGAUAUAUCGUUCCAUAACUGAUCAGCCAGAUCUUGCAAACCGAUCUAAACUCUCUGAAAAUCGCGAAACGAUCGCCACACAUAUUCAGCUUGCUUCCUAAAGAAAGAAAGAACUAAAGACACGAACGUCGUCUUAAAACCGAUUCGUUUCUAGCGAUUUUCUUAAAACCGGCAUAUUCCAAGUCGUCAACCAAAUCACAGUCCCAGCGUCGUCUUUAAAUCGACCCAGAUUGUCGAUCAUUCCAAUCCCCGGAAGAAGAAACUUACACAACCAUUCAAAAUAUCGGUUCAACCGUUUUCUUUCGUAAAAAAAGGGGGAGUACGUACGUAUACUAUACUCGUAUACUCUCAUACUCCCAUGGCAUCGAGAAAACGCUUUUGACAAAGCAAAGCAAACUCUCGCAGCAAAAGGCAGAAAAACACUUAGGCAAUGCGAUGCCUCGUUUAAAUCGUCCCAAAAAGGCAAACGACAAUCUAAGAUUCGUCUAAACGCUAGCAACGUAUCCAGACGAUCACGAACAUAAUCUCGAGGACUAUACACCAUUUCUUGUCUCAAUCAUGCGUAUAGAAAACAUAUACUAAUAUCAAAUUGAAAUUCGAUGAUUAGCCAAAGUCUUGAAGACCUUUUCAACUUAAUAAACAAGUUUCUUAUAAAAGUAAAAAAUUAUAUGAGAAAUCUUCAAGCAUCAAAGCAUUGCUCUCAAUUUCCGUUGAACUAAGCGAGUCACGGAAAAGCAUCAAGAGACAUUUGCGAAGAAAGUAAAAUCGAGAACUCAGAACUGGAGGCGUUAAUUUGAGCAAUGAAAAUCAUGCUUCAACAUACAAAUUGCCAGCAUUUUGAGACAGAUUGCAAAGACAUUGUAUCAAUGAUUCAAGAUCCGAAAGGAUGGCUGAGUUUCUCGACGGAGCUAGGGGAGAUAACAGUCUUUAGGAGACGUUUCUAAACUUCAAGAUUCUCCAAAUACCAAGAGAGUGGAAUAGGACAGCUGAUGGUCUACCUAGGAUAGCUCAUUUUUUCAUCGUAAUAUAAAUUUUGUUGGUUGUUAUAUUCCGGCAUAGAUUUUCCAGACCACCUCGGAAUUGAGAUAUAGAACAGUCUUUGAUGCCAAAAAAAAGUAACUGAUUUUUGGUGCGAAUAAGUAAUUCAUACCACGAGUUGUAGUUCUGUAGUAUCACUAUUGUAGUCCAAUUUAACCUUCUCUAUGAAAGCAGGAACUGUUUUAAACAUUUGUGUUUCGCAUAAUAUACUUCAUAUAUGGUUUAGCUGAAUGUGUUCACCUCGAUCCGCGACUUCUGGAAACUAUUAAAUCAUAAUUUGCCAAUAAUCAAAGUAUUGUUUCUAGAGAGAUUACCUAUGAUAACACACAUUUUUUGUGUAAUGACUAGAAUAACAUACAAAAACCAAGAAAGAAAAAAAACAUAAUAUAAAGUCCAAAAUACUCCAUCGAUGAAUUAAAUUUAAAUUAAAAAUACACUAGGAAACAUCUUAUAUAUUAAAACAGAAGUCACAACCUUGAUUCAUGUAUGAUUUUUUAAAAAAAUGGACCUAUUCCAUAAAAAUCAUGUUACAUUUAAUAUCUAAUCUUAUCAUUUAAAUUUUGGGCCUACCAUAAAUUUUUAUUGGGCUAUCAAUAAUUGGAUUUAAACAAUAGAUGAUUCAUUGGAUUUAUAGAUAGUAUAAAUUAAAUAGAUAUAAUUUAAAGUUGUAAUACUAUAUCUGUAUAUGCUAAAUAUUUAAAUAUUUGUCCAUGUUAACUUUAAAAUUAUAAAGAUUUUUUUUAAAUAACAAAAAUCAUAUUAUCUAACAAUGAUUAAUUUUUACUACCUUAAACCAAUGAAAACAAAUUUUAAACUAUAUAGUUUAUUUUAAAAAUUAAACAAAAACUAAAUGUUUAAUUAUUUACUCGAUAAUAUAAAUCUAUGAAGCGAAAAGUUUAAUUUUUUAAACAAAGAUGAGGUAAUGUGGUUUGGCUUCCUGAUUCUAUCAUUUAUGUAGCUAUAGCCUGUUGUUACUGGUGACAUUUAUGUCCAAAAUUUUGUUUGUAUCUAACAGGACAAUUUGGCUUUGAUGAUGGAGCUUCUUGGAAUGAUGCCACACAAGGUAAUAGAAUCAUUAGCAGGCUGCUGGUACAUGCUGGUGAACUACUUUACCAUUCUAGGCCUUCUAAUCUCCAAUUCUUUCUCUGUUGGAUGUAUUGCAGAUAACUUUAGGAGGCCGCUACUCCAGGGAUUUAUUCAACAUGCAUGGUGAUCUUCGACACAUCAGAAAGAAGAAAGACCAAAAACCCGAAACGUAGCUCUAGAGAGAAAGAAGAGCGAGAAAGAUGAGCAAGAAGCUGUGGUUGUUAAAAUAAGAAACCAGAAGCUCCUCUCUCCGGUUUGAUAUCUGAGUUAUGUUCCGUGAUUGAGCGACUGAAAAUAUGAUAUAGUGAGAGCUUUGAGCCAACAGAACCUCUUUUACGUCAAAUCUAUAGACUGAUAUAUUGUUUGUGUACUUAUAAGAAACAUAAGCUUUUUAAUAUUACAGACCAAGAUUGAAAACAUUGACAGAACAUAGAGAACAAAAACAAAGUUCAAGGCAUAUAGUUAUAAACAGCAGAACUUUUCUUUUUGUUUUGAUUGGUUACAUCUUCCCGUUGAACUCAGGAACCAUCGGGAACUUUUCAUGCAACUGAACCUUCUGACUUAACAUAUAAGCAAGUAGUUGUGGUCGGUUACACAAUAAUAACAACAUUUUUGUUUUUGAUAAGUAUGUGAACUUUAUUCUCAUGAAUGAAAAAUUCUUGAUGCUUGCACCGAAUGCAAUUAAAAAGUAUUUAAAUCUGUCACUAGACUCUACUACAUAGCGAGUGAAUGUCCCAAACUAAGGUAUUUGAAUAACCACUGGCCACAAACAACUAUAACUUGCUCCAUCGGAUUUUUUUGGGAUUAACCUAAAAUUGCCACUUGACAAAAAUAUAAAAUCACGGUUUGGAGAAGAAGUUUCACGGGUAAACUAGGUUUUAGUAACUAGUUGUGGUUAUUGUUCGAAUUUUUGGUCCCUUUAGUAACCCGGAUUUUGUUAAUUCUAAUUAGUUAACCGAUUUUGACGCAAAUAAGUUUGCUACAACAUAUAACUCCUGGAAAGUUUGCCAUAACUUACAGUAAAGUCUGCUAUCGGAUAAAAGUUAGUUUUGUAAUUAAUAAGUCUACAAUGAAACAUACUUAUUCAGAAAGUUUGUUGUUUAUGAACGAAGAAAAUAUAAGUCUGCGAUCUCAUGAAUAGGAAAAUCUGCCAAAUUAUAAAAAGUGUACGAAAUGUUAUUAUGAAAGUCUACCACAUAUUAUAAACCUGUCAUCAUAAGAAAAAAACCUACCAUAAAAGUCUGUCAAUUAAAAAUAAACCUGUUAACGUAAUUAAAUCUACUAUUACGUGUGGUAAACUUAUUGCGGAAAGUCUGUAACGAUUUUAAGUUUGCCAUAAUAGGUAUGCGUAAAGAAACAAAUCUGUUAGAUACUAAUAAAUCUGUCGUCAAGUAUCGCAGAUUUUUAAUAGCAGACUUAUUUAUAUAUUUAGAAAAUAAUUUUAUUUUUUUGUGAUGUGGUAAAAAAAAAUUAAUGGCAUUUGUGUAAACAGUUUUUUUGUUAACAAGGAAAAUAAGGACAUUUUGGGCAUCAACAAUAAUCUAGUAAUUAAAAAAAAUCCCCUAUAUAUUAAAGGAUAAUCACUUUCAAAACUUACCUUAAAAGUUUACUAGCAAGGAAUGUGACAUGGUGACGUGGUUUCAUGAGAAGCUUUUAUUUAGUAAAACGCUUAGGUGUCACGCAGAAAACGUUUCUCACCAAAACUGUGAAUUUAAUGCGUUCACACUAACAUUUCUUUAAAAGAACUUCAUACCAUCUAUACUUUUCUUGACGAACACUUUUACGUGAUAAACCUUCAGCUUCAAGUUCGAUUAGUUGAUUUAUCAGUCCUCUCAAUAUAAUCAUAGCUUCAAUAAAGAUUCCUUAUUCCUCUAUAUAUUUCUGUUAAAAACGGUAACCCAUCUGAUCUAUCGCCAUUAAGUCGACAGAUCCGUAGAGACGACAAAGCGAUGAAACUUUAGUACGAUGCCAAAUGUUAAUGAAAGAACCCUUUUCUCCAUACCUACUUUCAUGCAUUUAACAGAGUACUCACGUUCUUGAGAACCGCCUCUCAUUACUGAAAGAGGACGUUGAAAAUCUAUUUCUAGAUAAAUCUGUCGUACUCGGUUUUGUUACUGCUCGAUGAGGUGAUCUCUGUUUCGAGGAGACUGAAUCACUAUAAAUCGUCUCGGCUUAGUGUACUAGUCUUCCCGAGCAAGCAAUAUAAGCAUGUAAGUGUCACCACCUUCGCCGUCAUGAGAGCUGUGCAUUAGACGACCUUGAAGAUGAGACUUCCAGGAACGAACCACCGGCAAGUCUCACGUGAUGGUCGCAUCUGGAACAACCUUUAAUUUAGAGGGUCAAAAAUUUCUUUUAUUAUGCAACUAUGUUUUCUGAAUUUAAAGGAUCUACACUUCUUUUAUUUCACUCAAUUAUUGUUUUGAUUAUAAUAUGUUAUUGAUCCACCUUUUCUGAUUUUAUUUGUUAAAUCCCUAAGUUCAUAACUACUACAACGUGAUAGGCGAAAUAUAAAAAAAAUAUUUUUCAAAGCUUCUUCUCAAAAUUGCAAACACCAUAUAUUAAAUUUUAAUAUUAGUAAACUCAUUAUAAAAAGUCUAUGGCUUCGCCCCUCAUAACAAUCAUACCUUUAGUUCUAUCUAACUAUCGCUUAAAGUAUACCUCAUGUUAUACAUAAUCAUAAUAUAUACUUUCAACAUUAAUAUAGACAUCUUAUCCCGCGCAAAGCGCGGAUUACUAUCUAGUUAUAUGUUAUUCUAGUAAUAAUAACAUCAUUUGAUAUUAUUUUAGUAAUCUUCCCUUCUAUCUACCGAUAAUUAAUAUUUGGAAAUAACUACUUAAAUUUUAGUUUGAAACUAUAUGUUUUUCCUUUUUUGAAAGAUACAAAAUAUAAAAUAACUAAUUUUUAUUGGUUGGUGAACCUAGGUUCAUCCUAUGGGGUAAACCCAAGAAUAACUCAACACAGUAUAGCUUCCUCUUUCUUCUUGCAACAGACGUUUUUUUUCUAACCAACUAUAAAGCUUCCUUUUUCACCUAACCAACUAAAGCUUAUUUCAGUUAACAGAAAAAACUUAAGCUUAUUUUUCAUAAUAUGUUUACACUUUAACUAACACGUACUCACAUGAUAGACCUUAUCUUAUCUUUUUUCUUUUGGUCGCAAUUGUUGCCACUACCUUCAAAAAGAACCGAAGGACGAUAAUUUCGGAUCAAAAUAGUAUGAUUGAUUCUGUAUAACUUGAAAUGGAUAGGUAUAUUGUAACGACCUAAUUCCACGUGCCCAGCAAAGCCCAAUCAAUUUGCACGAAAUCCUAGGUAAGUUUCUAUUUAAACAGAGCUACCUAUUAGUUUAUUCAGAAAAAUUCUAAGACGUCGAACUUCUGUAGAUUUUGAGCCGUCAGAAAGAAAUAUUGGUGAACUGUCUCAGCCACCGUCUACUGAGAUCAGAUCCGUCACGUCGUCGCCGUCUCACGCCCUAGGUAAUCCGCAAACCGCCUUUUCCGAUUGGUUAAGUGUUGGCCGUUUAGUAAAUCGUCGAUAUCUCUCUAACCAUUGGGUUUCUUGCGAUUUCAAGGCCACCAGUGUGUUCGUGACGUCGAGACGAGUCCGGGGCAGGAGUGUCAUCCGGAGAACCGCCGCAACACGCCCACACGCGCAGGAGGAAGAUUCGCGCGUGAAUCUCACGCGCCACCGUCUCCGCCGGAUGUUCGCCGGAGCCACCGCAGUCAGCCACCGUCCGUUCGCCGCCAGGAAGCCGCCGCCGCAUCACCGCCGCGCCUCCGCCGCCGUCGGUGAUUUGCCGGUAAGCCACCACCGUUUUUGGCCGCCGCCGGCGACCGGUCUCCGGCGACUCGCCGUAACUCGGUGACUCGGCCGAGUCAACUCAGCGAGUCAAGCCGUUGACCAGUCAAGCCGGUUUGGUUUGGUUUGUUCAAUUGAUUUUCGGUCUGAUUGGUUAUUGGGAAUUGAUUUCCAGUUUGGAUUAAACUGAUUUGAAAUUGAUUUGAAUCUGGUCCAAUUGAAAUCGAACUCGGUUAAGGAAAACCAGGUGGUUCAAUUCGAUUUCAAUUUGGUCAAGGGUUGACCGGCUUGGGUCAGAGUUGACCGGGUUGACCUUCGACCAGCGGGUUGACUUUUUGACCAGAUCACCGGUUAUCCGUUUUGGACCGUUCGAAGGGCGUUCUGACUCGAUUUUUCGCCCUGAUUUCAGCUUUGGAGUUUGUUUGAGCAGCUGGAGUUCAUAGCUAUCACUUUUCCACAUUGCUAAGGUGAGGGUCUAUUCCGUAAAUCCCGUACCAGUGUAGAAUUCUCUCUAUCGUAGUUUAGAUUUCGAAUCAUGGUCCGUCUGUUUGAAUUGAGUCUUGAUUGUUAGUUAGUUCAUUCAUUGUAAACUGGAACUAGGGGUCUAGAUGAUUCAACAUUUGAUUGGAUUGUGUGAUGUUAAGAGAUGUGAUAUAUAUAUAUAUGUAUACAUAGUUAUUAGUAGGGACUAUGUGCGCGGGCGGGGGCUUAGAGAUGUAUGGGCUAGCGACGCUACUUUGAUUGUGCGGGCAGGGGUUCAGAGACAUCUGGACUUGCGAUGCUACUGGUGCGGGUGUGCAGUGCAAAGGUGUUUGUACCAUGGACGCUACUUGAGAGGGCGGAGGUACAGAGACAGACUGUAUUAGCGACGCUACGUAUUAUAUAUCCAUAUGAAGAGAUGCGGGGUGUAUGGACUAGCUAUAUGCUAUCAUCGCAUUGUGUGUGUUUGUGUAUGUGAUGUUUUAGGCGUCUUGUUUGUUCAUGUUAGAGCUAAACUUCCAUAGUGGGAGUUCUAUUUACUCAAGUCAGUGGUUUGCGUGUUUAGCAUCCCAUACCUCACGGAGUAACUCCCAUGUUACUCACCCCUCCUAUUCCUUCCCCUUUCAGAUGAGACUGGCGAGUAGGAGUGAUUGCUAUCGAGCUGGUGCUUUGGGAAUUUUAUUUCUUUCUUUUUCAUACUUGCGGAUUUUAUGCUUUUAUCGAUAUUUUUGGGAUUUAUUAUGUUAUUUGGAGUUAUGGCUAUUUAUUAGAUUUACGACUUUGGAGUUGACUUUUGAGAAGUAAUAAAUGGAAAUUUCAGACGUUUUAUUUAUUUAAGUUAUUUCGAAAAAUACGGGUGUUACAACUCAUUUGAAAUGGAUAGGUAUAUCUUCAUCAACAUGCAUUAUAUGGUUUUGAACUCAAGUAAUAGUGUACUGAUAACAGUAACAUAUUAGGUUACACAUUAUCAUAAAUUAAGUUUCUCUUGUUAAAAAUAAUUUGUUUAAUUAUUAAGGGUCUGAAAAAAUGAAAUUUGGUGAGUAAACAAAUAUAAUAUUACUCAGUUAUUUUGGGUUUUUGUUGGCUGCUACUUAAAAAGAAUUUGAUUUUGACAGAAAAUAAAAGGAAAAGAUCUUAAAACCUUAUCAAUGUUCAAUUUAAUGCUAGUUUUUAAUAUAAAAAAUAAGUUUAUUUGUUUCUUUUUUGGUUCGAGUUCUAUUAGGUGGGGUAUUAGAUUUAGAACUUUGAGAGAAUUAGAAGGAAUUAUAGUUUCCAUUAAGUUCUACUGUUAUUUAAUUAUUGAUUUAAUCAAUUCUUUUAAAUUCUUGUGUUAUUGGAUUAAGCAUUUGUAAUCAUUCUUUUAUUUACUUUAAAUUAUGUUGCUAUUCAAUAUUUGAUAGAUUUUGUAGUAAUGUUAUUUGAUAAGAAUUUAAUGGAAUAUGUCCUAUAGAAAUGAAAAGAGCUAAUUAUUUGCCUCUAAGGAGAGAUUUGUUAUGCUCAUGGGAAUCUGCAUUUCACGAACUCAUGUCCUAUCAUUUUUCACUCUGCAUUUCAUGAACUCACGUAAAAACAAAAGAAUUGAAAUAACAUAAUUUUUUCAAUGGUAUUUUUUUGAAAAAGGACUAAUCUUUUUUUCUGAUAUUUUCAUAAAAUCCCUAGAAAAUAACAUUUAUUAUAAAGUACUAGUUACAAAACUUCAAACUGGUGUUGACAAUAUAUUCUAAUCAAAUAAUCUAAUAUAAAAUCCCAACAAAAUAGUACUUACCAUUUUUUUUUAAAAUGUUCCUUUAUUAGAUCUAUCUCUCAUAUAAAUCCUACUCAACCAUAUAGCAUCUAAUCCCUAUAAAAUAGUUCUUAUAUUUUUCUGAAGAAACAAAACAUAGAUCAGUUGUCCAAGUAGUACUAAUUAUUAUUUUUCUUUCAGUUUUAAGAUUAAAUAAUUUUAAUUAACUUUUUAAAUAUACAAAGAUUCAAAAAUUUCAUAGAAUUUAGAGGAAUUCACAUCCUAUAAAAUUUAUGUAUCUAAUCUAUUAAAAUAGAGUUAUGUUUUUUAUCUACCAUAAACAAGUUUAAGUAAGACCAUUUAUUUAAUAGCCUAACAAAUAUAAAAUUGAUAGUAUCUAUAUAAAUUAAUCUAUUCUACACUAAAUCUUCCAUAACAACCAACCUUUUAUAAUCAUCUAACCAUCCCACGAUUACUUCAAAAAAUACAGCAGUGUUCAUAAUAUGUUUAAACUAUAUUUUUAAUAAACACUACAUACUUGCCAACCAUUUAUACAUUUUACAUUCAUAUACAAGUUUCUCAUCAACAAAACUAAUAAGACUACAAUUUAAUAUCUGUAGGCAAGUUCUUCAUCAACAAUUUUACCCAAAAAUCAUCAUUUUCUUAAGAGUCAAAUGUAUAAGACUCUUGACUUGCAUAAAACACAUGUUUAUUCUUAGUAUUACCUCUUCUUUAUCUCAACUGAUCACUUUUCCAAAAUUAUUUUUUCUUGGCUCAGUUGCUGUCUCAGUGCUUAUUCACUAUGACAUAUUACUUAUAAUUUCAAAUUUAUAUUAGUUUGUGUCUAUAUGUUUGAAUUUAUCUAACCAUCUAUAUUGAACAUAUUAUAACAUUGACUCAUGACUACAGAGAACCAUUAUACCACUUUUCUCCCAGUUUCAUUUUCUAGCUUUUCACCAGGUGAAAGAGACGGUUUCUUUUGGUUUUUUAACAUCGGUUACAUGAUUUGAUAUACUCUCGAUCAAUCCGGUUCUCCUAAUAAACAGUGAACCACGGUUAGAUACAAAUAAAACUCGGAAAACAUGAUUUGUAAAUCUCUUCGAACAAUAUUUUCCAAUAAUAUUCUCUUAAAUAUAUAAAACCCAACUUCCUCUAUUGUAGCAAGAUAAUAUCGGAUGUAAAAAAGGCAAGAUAAUAUCGAAUUUUAAAUCAAUCAAGAUAAUAACAAAAAUAUUAUGCUAUAUCUUUUAAAUCUUAACAAAAUAAUAUACAUAAAAUAUUAAGUUAGAUACAAAAUCACACAAAAUAUGAUGCAUCUUCUUAAACAAGAUUAUGGAAUAUCCUAAAACUUUUGAAAUACAACCCACAAACGUCUCAAGCCUACACACUAUAUAUACACAUAGUUAUAACACCAUCGUAUUAUUCAAACCUUUACUCUUCAAUGUUUAUAUUAUGCCUCCUAAAGGUACAAACUUAGUGAAAGAUAUCAGACCCUGGAAAACAGAAUGACAAUUCAUGCCAAAGCAAUUCAUUCAUGGAGGCAACAAACAAAGUUUGGUGAGGAAUCCUUAGAAAUGAUACUCUCCGAUAAAACUGUGAAUGUCCAAACAUAAAUUAUUAUAUAUUAUGUAUAAUUAUAAUUUUUAUUAAAAUUUAUGUUUAAAAAAAAUAACAAUAAUAUCCACACAGGCGUGCGGAUCAAAAUCUAAUAUUCCUUUAAAAUCCAUCAUAAAAAUAAUUGGAUAAAUGCAUUAAAAUCUCAUCAAAUCUUUUAAAAUACUACAAAAGUUCUUACUUAUGAAUUCUUUCAAAUUCAAUUACAUUCAUGGAUUCAAUACCAUCUCUAAAAAUUAUUACAAAAUAUUGUAGCAUUCCCUUUAAUAAACUAUGAACCAAGCCUAUCUGAAUCUACAAUUCUGGUUAACCUACCAGUAGAUUAUCGAUCCGGAAUCCAACAUACAUACCGGUUGGGGUUCUUUUCAAAAUAACAUAAUGCCAAGACUGUUAGAAUAUAUGAUUACAUAUCUAAUCAUAUCUAAUCAUAUAUUCUAACAUUUACCACGCCGGCAACAAACAAUUUAUCUCUUCGAAUCGUGUUGACGCUAGCUUUCCUCCGUAUGGAUUUACUGUAGGACAGGCUACGGGACGAUAGUCCGAUGGUCUUAUCAUUCCCGACUAUCUAGGUACUUAUUAUAUAUUUUUUAAUUACAUUUCUGAAAUAUGAAUAUAAAAACAUGUGUUUGAAUAUAAUAUGACUAUUAAGGUUUAUACUCGUUUGGGAUAUAAUCUGAUAUUUGUCAUAUGUUCUGAUCAGCUAGUUUCAUGGGUAUUACACAAAUCCCUCCGGUUCUCUCACGGAGCUAACUUUGCCAUCGCGGUUGCCACCGUUCUCGGCUCCCCUCCGGAGACGGUCAGCUUUUUUCCUUUAUCUUUAACGUCAAAUCGUGUUUUUGUUUCGAACCUCUAAUAAUACGAAAGGUUAUUUAUUAAGUCGGAAUUUCUAAAAGCUGACUCUUAAUUUUUGUUCUUUUGCUUGUGUUAAAGUCCUAAUACUUUUUGGUAGAGAAGUUUAUUUUUGAAAUUAGAAUUUUAAAAGUUAACUCUAGUUCUGGAAGAGAUUAUGGGCUUGAAAGCCGGGAAUUUCCACAGGAAAAAAAUAUAUUCAAAUUCUUGUUCUUACAUUGAAAUCAAGUUUGUAUCCAAAUUUGGAAUUGAGUUUUUAAAAUCUCUAUUGCAGUUAUAUAUUUCAGUUGGAAACAAUCUGAUACUUGUGAUGAAGUGUAGAGACUGAAUUAAUGUGAGCUCUAAUAGAAAGAGAUGUAUAUAUAAGUAUGGUAGCCUUGUGAUGAAGUGUAGAGAUCUUUAUAUGAUUUUUUGCCUUUUUGUUUGUACAGUUGACUCUGUCACAACAAGUGAUCAAGCUCUCUGUAAACAAGAACAAAUGGACAAUUCAAGCACGUUCUGAAGCUAUCUACUUGUUCUACAUCGGCUCUGAUGAUUACUUGAACUAUGCCAAGAAAAAUCCGAAUCCCUCAGCUGAUCAGAAAGAAGCUUUUGUGGAUCGAGUCAUUACUUCAAUAGAAGCAGAACUAAAGGUUAAAAAAAAGAAGAAUCAAGAAGCAACAAAUCUUUAAUUAUUUUUCGGUUUGUUCAAUCAUGUACCGACAUUUUAGGUGAUUUACGGGUCUGGAGGUUGAAAAUUCGCGUUACAGAACUUAGCACCAUUGGGUUGCUUACCCGCCGUGAAACAAGCAAGGGGAAAUGUUCAGGAAUGUGUGAGAUUGCCUUCAGAAAUGGCGGCUUUGCAUAACAAGAAGCUGUUGCAGCUCUUGGUUGAACUUUCACGACAGCUCAAUGGUUUCCAGUACUCGUUUUACGACUUCUUUAGCUCCAUCCAGAACAGAGUUAUCAAGUCCAAGACUUACAGUAAGUCAUUGCCAUCAUAAUUCAAACCAUAUUCUGAUCUUUAACAGAAAAAAAGAGUUGUGACAUUUAUCAUUUUUGAUUAAGCAUUUGAGACGGGAAUAGCUGCAUGUUGUGGGACUGGCUCUGUCAAUGGAAGCAGUUGCUCGACUAACAAUGUAUGCGCUCACCCUGAAGAUUAUCUCUUCUUCGACGGCUAGCAUUUGACGCAAGAAGGGAACCUUCAGACUGGACAUUUGAUGUGGGGAUCAGAUCCGGUAGUGAUUGGACCUAACAAUCUCAGGGAGCUUCUUUUCCUUCCUCUUGAGAGUAUGGCUGCCACUCGGCCGAGGCAGAUCAAGAUUGAGAGUAUUUACGAUAUCAAGAAGAUGGAAUCGGAGAUGGAGACUCAAUGGCUUUAUCAAGUUGAUAAAGCUAGCUCAUUUCUGAUCUAAUAUUGUAUUGCAAUAUGUGAUUAAAGCCAAAGAGAGUUAAUGAAGUUACUGUAAUAAAGAAUAAGACAAGAAAACUAAGGUAUUUUUUUUUGUAAUAAAACAUUCGGCCUUUGGUCCAAGAUAACCCCAUGUUGUAUCCAUCUAGUUCUCCUCUUCAAGCAGUAUAUUUUUUUUUUUGGUGUAAUCUUCAAGCAGUACUAAAUUUCAACUUUCGUUUUUCUUCAUUUCCUUUAGCUUAUUAAUCUGAAAUAUCAUGUGGGUUUCUCUGCAAUCUCAAUCCAACAUUAUACACCAUCGAGAGAGAGGCAGGUUAACUGACGUAUAUCAUUAGCAGUCUAGAAUCUCCCAUCAUAUAUUCUGACAUUUAUAAUUAUUAUGUUUUGCUGACAAACUAAAGAGUUAGGUGAAAUAUUCAUUGUCUACAUAUAGGUCGUUAUAGCAACCUGAAUAUAUAUGGAUCUAGUGAAAAAAUGUUAAGACGUUACAUUGCGGGGAAUUAAUUGACUCUAAAAAUUUGGAGAUAAUUUCAUUUAUUAGAUGGUUUGGUUAUUCUGUGGUAAAAAAAAAAUAUGUGGACGUAGACCUUGUGGACAAGCAAUGUAAAACAACAUCUAGUUAUUUGUAGAUAAUUUCAUUUAUUAGAUGACUACAAGAAAACAAGACCUUAACGAUUACAAUAUUAGUAGCUUAUUGGUCGUAAUAUAGGCUUUACGACUAAAAAGCUUCGAAAAACGAUUGGUCGUUAGAAGCUAGUCGUAAAUAAUUAUUCGAGGCACAUUGGUCGUAAAGUUACGACUAAAGACUUUAGUCGUAAAUCAAACGUAAAUGUACGACUAAGUAAAUUGGUCGUAAGUUCAACGUAAAAGUAUUAGUCGUACAUGUGACGCACAUUUACGUCUCGCAAAUUAGAUGUACAUAGGUCGUAAACUUACGACCAAUUUGCUUCUAUGUCGAUGUUUAUUUGUCGUAAUAUAACGACUACUUUACGCCGACGUUAGAUGUUCAUUGUUCGUAAAUUAACCCUUUUAUUUAUUUAUUUUAGAAUUUUGUAUUUGAUUACGAAUUUAAUCUAUUAAUUAAAAUCAAAUAUUUAAAUUUAUUUUGAUUUUAAUUUUUAAAAUUUGAUAAAAUUAAAAGAAAAUAUCUAAAAUUCAGAAACAUAAUAGUAUCCAUAAUAUAAAACAUUUAUAAUACUAAUUAACUAAAACCGAAAAAACUAAGUGUCAAGGUUUAUUUCGUCUAAGAGGCCGGAGCUAUGCUCAUGCGCACGUCGCUCUAAAUCUGUCUGCUCUGCCGGAGUGGGCUCGGGGACAAAGCUCGGACGUAGAGACUGCCACCUAGAGGGAAGAGCCGGGUUGAUGUUUGGGGUUGUCUCUAUCAUCAAAUCGAACAUAUUUGCCAUAAAUGCAAAUUUGUCCCUGUGGUCAGCUAUGACUUCUUUGGCCGCAGUCAAAUCCCUAAGGAGAGAAGAUUCUUCUUCCAUUCUUGCAGCGUGUUCAGCUCUUGCCCUCGGGACAUCGUUGAUAGACUCGAUCCCGAUAAUACGUCCCUUUUUCUUCGGGGCAACCUUCAAUUAAUAAAUAGAUAUUUAAUUAGUACAUAUGUAAAAACUAACUUAAAGAAUAAAAAAUGUAAAUAAACAUAUAUAUUUAAGAGAUCAAAUUUUUAACCUGCUAAAAAAUUUUGUCUUGUUCGGCGGUGGACAACUGGACCGGUACACCUUCCGGAUUUUGUUGCGACAACUGAGUCUGGACCUCCUGGAUGCGAGCCUCAACAGUGUUGUAGAUCCUCUCUGCUCGAGGAUACGAGAAGGUGCCAUCAGAAUGCUGGUGUGUCGUCUUGUAAAUUCGGGCCAGAGAUGGUGGUGCUCCUUCUUGGCAGCCUGUAUAAAAAAAAUUAAAUUAAACUCAUGCAUUAAAUAAAUAGUCAAUUAAUAUAUAUUUGAUAAAAAUUAAGAAAGAUCGAAGACUUACAAUUUGUAGUGCCCUCCCAGCGUGUGGAAUCUGUCCGGAAGUAUGAGGUACUGGCAGGUUACCAUCAUCAUCGCGGGUCAACCGAGCCAUAGAGCAAGUGAGAGACCUCUGAACUGACUUCGGCAAAUUCCAAUAAGCCUUCAAGCCCUUCCAAACGUCAUUGCUGAGGUAUGCUUCUUUUGCGUCGUCUCCCAAAGCGAAUUUUGUCUUCCAGACAUUCCAGACAUUCCAAAUAGACUAAAGCCAUCUGUGCAGAGCCCAAGAUAAACGUUGCGGGGGUUGCUUGCAAAAUCAGGGUACACCGAAUUCAAGUGUUUCCACGCUUUUGCACCAGAGGGAUGAUUGAUCUCGCCUUCCUUCUGAGUAUGUUCUGCAUGCCAUCUCAUCGCUGCUGCCGUCUUUUCAGAUUGAUAUAAUCUCUUCAGUCUAUCCUUGAUAGGUAAGUACCACAUCCGCUGGUACGGCACCCUAUACCGCCCACGUCCUUGCGGUUUAUAUCGUGGCUUCUUGCAAAAUUUACACUCUAACAAUUCUGCAUUUUCUCCCCAGUAUAUCAUACAGUUGUCUAUACACACAUCAAUCAUCUCCGAAGGUAAACCAAGGCUAUGAACCAGUUUCUGAAUCUCAUAAUAAGAUUCAGCACACUGAUUAUCUUCAGAAAAAUACUCUUUAAACAACUCAGCCCAUGCAUCCAUACAAACUUCAGGUAAGUUAUGAUCAGUUUUAAUAUUCAUCAUUAUAGCUGCCAAUGAUAAUUUAGAAAGACCUUCUCUACAACCUUCAUAAAUUGGCUCAUUAGCUGCUGCUAGCAUCUCAUAAAAUCUUUUUGCAUCCAAAUUAGGCCCUUCUACAUUUUCUACCUCCUCCAUUACUGAUCUUGUUUCACGAAAUGCAUAUGUAACCAUAUCAUGCAUCCUAUCAUGAUCUACCAUAUGAUCCUCUUGAAGGUUACAACUUUCAGAAGGUAAAUGUGGUUCCUCUCUGUUACGAACAUUUUCAACCUGAUUACUACUACUAGCUUCAUUCCUAUUAUCAGCUUCUCCGUGGUUAAACCAGAUAUAGUAAUGUGGAGUAAAUAAUCUAUUUACUAUAUGUUUCCAAACCGUUUCACUAGCAGCAAACUUGGUAUUGUUGCAUUUACGACAGGGACAAAACAUUUUACCCGUUUCUAGUGUGAGAGACGCCUGCCCGGCCUGGUACAUGAACAUCUCUGCUCCGUUGAGAAAUUCUUCUGUUAUUCUUCCGCUUGAAUCUUUAUGAGCAUACAUCCAACUCCGAAGCUUAUAGAUAUUUCUAGACCUUUUUUUUUUACUCUUUCUCAUUUUUUUUUGUGCAACUUAAGAAUGAGGGAGAAGAUCAUAUUUGUAGUGAAAUUUCGAUUUUGGUAGGUUUACAACGAAUUUACGUUUGAUAAUAACGUAGCCACCAAUGUGCAACCGCAUUCCUCGUAAAUUGAUCGUUAAUCAGAUGGUACAACGUCGAUGUUUCUUAGUCGUAUAUUUACGACUACUUUACGACUAGAUGAAAGUAUAGUCGUAAACGAGAAGUUAAUUUACGACCAAUUUACGACGAGAACUAUUAGUAGCAAAAUUACGUCCAAGUUACGACGAACAUUCAGGUAAUCGUAAUUAGUCAUAAAGUCGAAGGUAAUUUACGACUACACAUUUGUAGUCGUAAAUCGUAGUCGUUACUCCCACGUUUUCUUGUAGUGGAUGCUUUCACUAUGUGGGUUGCACAUCAAAUGGCUUCCAACCAUAGUUAGGCUAGCCUCUUGGGGUCUGGAUAUUUCAACCUCUGCUAUUCCCAUGACAAGGACAGAUCAUUUCUUCCUCCUGUCCUUGGAGUGAACAAAUUUGAUCUCUGGUUUUGCACAGGCUCGGGUGCGGGGUGCCACCGUCACUCCUUUCAUUUUUGGACAGAUCUUAUAGCUUGGCUUUCCAUCAAAGUUCCUGUCUCGCUUAUCACCCUCAAACGUUUGGCAAGCAAAAAUUUACAACAUCUGAUCUGAGCGAAACAAAAGAAUUCAUGAUCACAAGUCAUCCCCUACGUCCCAGAUUUUCAAAACCAUCAAUAGGUCAUAACAAGAAAGGAUGCGUGAUGUAAUUCUCGGCCGGCGACACAACAAGAAAUUCCAUGACACAAUGCGUUUGUGAGUAACAGAGCGAUAGAGUAUUUCUCUUUUCUUGGCUUUCCCCCUUUUUUUUUUGCAAGGUUAAAUCCAAUCUAGUAGUAAACUUUCAAAACAAGCUUCAUUAAUAUGAAUUUCAAUUGAAAUAUAAUUUUUUUAAUUAAAUAAUUCAUUCACGUACGAGGCCAAACCAAGAUCGGAAUAUAUCAAUCAGUGAAAAACAAAUCAUGCAAAAUAGACCCACCCACGUGAGCAGAAUAAGACAUGCAUGUAAGAACAACCAGUGGCGGAGCCGGACAAUGAUUUAAGAGGUGUCACAAUAGGCAAUUUUUUUAAAAAAUAAUAAUUAAACAGGGCGUAAGAUAAGGAUCGACACUGGUUUAGGGGUCUCAGACCAUGAUUAACCCUGGGUUCUUAGAGUGGGGUUCUUAGCGAAAAUUAAAAAACUGUUUCUUAACUUUUAAUUAAAAAAACUAAAAACCAGUUCUUAAAGUCCUUAUUUAAGAAUCGGUUCUUAACUUUUUUAGUUAAAAAUUAAGAAACAAACUUCCGCUAAGAACUCCUUCCUAAGAACUCCGGAUUAAUCAUGCUCUCGGUAGACAACUUUCAUCAAAAUAACCAUGGAAUUUUCACUAUCCUUAAGCAUCUUCUUAAACUUUUCUAGAUUUAUGGGUGUCACGUGACAUCCAUCCUCUCUGAAUGAAUUCGCCUCUGAGAACAACCUUAGAGCAUUGGGUAGAUCUUCAAUGAAUAUCUUAACAAGUUAGUAUAAAAAAAGAAAAAUAUAAGAGAGAGGCUGGAAAGUAUCUCAAAUAUAGAAGUGUCAUAGUUCUAUGAAUUAUUUCAACUAGGCUCAUUUUUCUAUGAAUUUUAGUAGUAUGUAAAUUCUAAUUUAGAUCAUCAUGAUCACAAGUAAAUUGAAUAACCUCAUUUUUUUGUCAACAAUAACCUCAUAAAUCUAUAAAAUAAAUAUAAUAAUAAUAUAGAUAAAAUUUAAAAUAUUAAAAUAAAUUUUUAGAACAUAAUUCAAAAAUAAAUAUUAAAAAUAAUUUCAAAUAUGAAAUGAAAAUAUCUAAUUUGAGAUAAAUGAUUUUGUGGAAAAAACAAUGACUUCGCUAUAUGUUUUGAUAUAAGAAGAUUUAAAUGACUUUAGAAUAAGAUUAUGUUUUCCUAAGAAAAUCUUAAAUAAUUUUUUUAAAAAUAAUAAUUGAUAUAUCACUUAUCUUAUAUAGAUAAAAUGAAAACAAUACGCCUCACCCACGUGAGCAGAAUAAGACAUGCAUGUAAGAACAAUCAGUGGCGGAGCCGAACAAUGAUUUAAGAGGUGUCAAUUGGCAAUUUAAAAAAAAAAAAUAAACAUGGUGUAAGGUAAGGAUCGACACUGGUUUAGGUGUGUCAGUAGACAACUUUCAUCAAAAUAGCCAUUGAAUUCUCACUAUUCUUAAGCAUCUUCUUAAACUUUUCUAGAUUUAUAGGUGUCAUGUAACAUACAUCCUCUGUGAAUGAAUUCGCCUCUGAGAACAACAUGAAAGCAUUGGAUAUAUAUUCAAUGAAUAUCUUAGCAAAUUAGUGUAAAAAAUCUUAUUAUAUAAAGUAGAGUUCAUUCUUCUCUUCCGGUGAUGCCACGUCAUUAAUAGGGUAAAGGAGAGAGUGACUCCUGCCCUUUUUUAAGCUUUCGAUGGUUUCAGAUGGGCUCGAAUGCAAGAGAGAUUUUUACUUGGGCUUGAUACGCUAGAAGGCUGGCCCGUUAGGUAUCGUCUUCGUGACUGAUGGUUGCGUCUAUGACGGUUCCUCUGGAGUCGUUUCGAUCUGGAUUCAUCUCCUAACAUACGUUACCAGUUUCAUUGAAUGAGUCUUAUCCCUCUUCCAAGCUCCACCUAUAAAACAGUCAAGCCCUAUCGCUUGAGAAUCAUUCUCAGGAUUCCAAAAGUUUCCAUAAAAUGUAUUCUCUCUAAUUCGAGAGUUUCUUUGAGAUUUUAAGUUUUCGGUGUUGUUGUUCGGAAUUUUUAUGUUGAUGGAUCUUACCGGAGCAUUCAGAUCUUGAUCCGGCGGGGUUGGGCUGUUCCCAGAAGCAACAUGGCUUGAAUCGCUUCAUCUCGGCGGUGGCGACGAUGAGUUUCUGCAACUAACAACUCAGCAACUAACAAAGCUAACUCCCAAGAAUGCCGGUGGUUUCAAGCCAUCGAUUAAGCUUCCGCCUGCACUAGCUGUGGAUAUAUCAGUGAUUCGUCGUCAUCAUUUUCUCAAGAAGCGGCCGACGGUGUAGAUGUUGGUGAGUGCUAUGCGAGGAUUUUGGAUGGGUUUUGUUUCUGGUUUUUAUUGGAUGGCUUUUGUUAGAUACGCAUAGCGUGCAUAAUCUUGGUAAUUCAUAGUUCUUCUUAUGUUUCCUAUAUCACAGUGACUGGUGAGUGUCUGUGGAAGGAUUUCACCAUUUUUAAAGGCUUCAGAGAAAGUUUCUGUUGCUUCACAUUAAACUAACUUUCUCAAAAACAAUUAAUUUCGAAUAAGCUUUGUGUAGGAGUUCACCUCUGUUUCCAAACAGGUGUGUUUCUGCUUUCUAUCUAUCUGUCCCUAUUUCAACGUGUCGCCAGUGGAUGAUCAGUCUCAAAGAUAAUAGAAUUGUUAUAUACCCGCACGAGAGGUAUGCUGAAACCAGAGGCUGUAAGAAAGAUCGAGAAGUGGUCCAAGAGGCCGAGAAGCACAAGUCUGAGGAUGAGGAGCACAAAAGAAGGUCGAAGCCAAGAAUGCUCUUGAGAACUAUGCGUACAACAUGAGAAACACCAUCCGUGAUGAUAAGAUAGGUGAGAAGCUUCCUGCUGCAGACCAGAAGAAGAUUGAGGAUUCGGUUUAGGAAGCAACCCAAAGGCUUUGUGGUAACCAGUUGGCUGAAGCAGACGAGUUUGAAGACAAGAUGAAAGAGCUGGAGAGUGUGUGCAACCCGAUCAUAGCAAAGAUGUAUCAAGGAGCUGGUGGUGAAGCAGGUGGUCCUGCUGAUGAUGAAGCUCCUCCUGCUGCUGGAUGUGCUGGUCCCAAGUUUGAAGAAGUCGACUAAGCUGGUUCUUUUGGAAUUGUUUUCCCUUAAUGUCUGGAACGUCUCAAUACUAAUGUUGUUUAGUAUAGUGUUUUGCUUUUUUUUUUUUAUAGUUACGUACUCUUAUCAUAUGUGGAAUUUGUUGCGAAUUGAGUUGGGAGUUUCGAAGUUCAAUCGCAGAAAUUUUUGUUUAAUUGGUUUCUCUGUUUCUGUGGUUCCAAUGGCUUAAUCUCUUUGUGUGUCAUCUCCUUUCUUUCUCUUCAAUCUUUUGAAGUCGAGCUUCAGAUUGUAUCACAUUUCAUAUAUGGAGCCUCCAAAUAUUUUUUUUUCCUUGAACUUUUAAGCCACAAAAUAGUUGGUUUAUUAUGCAGAUGGAUUUCUCCGAUGUCUUGACUAUAGUGUUUGUUAUAACUUACAAACAGGCGCCGAACCAAAUAGUUCUAUCAACUUCUAUCACUGUAUCAAAAGAUAUGCUUUUACGGUGGAGUUAAAAAAAUAUUACAAGCUCACAUUUACAUAAAAACUAAGCUAUCCCAUAAUUUCUCACCGAACAGAAGUAACGAUCACUAUUUUGAUCUAUAUGGAUUAUGGACAUAUUCACUAUCACGAUUUUUAAUGGAGACAUUCAUUAUCACGAUUUUUAGUUUAUUUUGAGAUGGUUAUUUUUAUUAACCAAAAGUGAAGAUGCAUCACCAAAAGUGAAGGAUAUAUAAUGAAUCUGUAAAAAAGUGAAGGCCAAGGUUUAGGAAGCAAGUAGUGAGAAAGAAAGAGAAGUGUACGUAGCUUAGUGGGUGCCAGACUGAUAAAACUUUAGAGUGCACACCAAGGAACAAGCCUAUGAAGCAUUCAGCGAAGUACAUAUCAUACUUUCUGAGACAAAAGGUAAGAACAUCACAAACAAAGAACUGGUUUUAGGUGUGAGAAAGCUUCUUGAGUAUGAUGAAUGUUAUGCUCAGCAACUUGGGCUGUAUUGAACCGAUAGUAAUGCAGAUGCUCAUACGCUAAAAUGAAUUCAGAUUUUAGUUACUUUAAAGUAUUCCGGAGUUUGUGGUUGAAUCAGUUUGUUCACUUUGUUUUCAUUUGAAAUAAAUAAACCGAACCAGUUUAACACGAAACAAUUUGUUUUGGUUCGUACUCAAUUAUAUGUUCGCUUCAAUUUGAAAUGUAUUUUCUUAACAAAUUAGAUGGUACAAUCAAUGAAGUUCUUGCUUUAGCCGAUAAUGUUUGGAAAUAAAAAAAUUUAACCGAUAACGUGGAAAUUCUUUAUAUCGACUCAAAAUAAUGAAAAAUAAAUAAUAUAUAUAGUAAAUAUCUAUAAAUUAAUACUCGGCAAAUGAAUAAACACAAAAUUAAUAAAUUUUACUGGUCUUGAAUUAGACAAAUGUAAAAUCUAACUUAAUUCAAUAAAAUAAUAAUAAUAAAAUUUAGAAUUUUUAUAUAAAUAUAUGGUAUUUUAAAAAUAAAAAUAAUCAUCUUUAAUUUUUUUUUAUUUCAAUAUUUUGAAGUUUUCAUUGAAUUACUGAUAAAAGACAAUUAUAUUCUAUCAUCAAAUUCAACGCACAUUCUAUAUAUCAAAUAAUUUAAUUAAAUAGAUAAAAUUAUCGUAAACAAUUUUUUCCUUCCUUUAAAUAAAAAAUAAUUAAAAUAGCCUUUACAAAUUAAUCAUUUUAAAAAUCAAUAUAUUAUCACAGUUUCAAUAGAUAUAUAACCAAUGUAAGAACAUUAUACUACAAAAUGAAAUUAAAAAAAUGUAAUCACUAAUUAUACCUUGAAAACUAAAAAAUAAUAUUUGUUUGAAUAAGUCUUAAUUAUUUUGGAUAAUACAUUUUAUUUGAUAGUUUAUAAGAAAUAGAUAUGUAAAUCUGUAAAUAGUAAUGUGGUAAGUUAUCAAGUUGAAUAAAAAUGAUGGUUAAAGUUUACUUUUUGCAUAAUUUAAAACAAUGUAUUUCACAUAAAAUGUGUAAAAUGUAUUCAGAAAUAAAUUUAUAUUAGAGAAAAAAUAUUAUGUGUUGAAUCUCAACUUUAAUUCUGAAUACUUUUAUUAUAUUUAUUAUUAUAAUAGAGGCAAACCCAGCAUUGAAUAAUGUAAAAUAAUAACAUGAUUAAAAAUGAAAAUUUUCUUAUUAGUUAGAUAAACCUAUAAUUUUAAAUAAUAAUAACAAAAAAAAAUGAUGAAUAUAUAUUAAAAUCACUUUCAAUUGAGAAUAAACUAAAUAUUUUCUUAGUUCUUCAUUUUUUUGUUAUGUUUUGCUUCACUCUAACUUCCUCCAAUAAAUUAUUUGAUAUGAAGUGGUGAUACCACUCAAAUUACCCUAAGAAGUGAAUUACUCUUUCUAAGAGGUUCAAUUGUAGUACUUAGGGAUCGAAUCCACAAGGAGCUAGAAAACCUAUUAAAUCUAGUAAUUUAUUAAUUCUAAGUGUUUGUUGUUUUAUGGUUUAAAUGUAAAUAGCAAUCCUAACUGAGCAAGUGUAUUGCUCGACUAACAAGAUGAUUUGGGGGUGUAACUUAUUGGAAAGGUAUUAGAUGCAGGGUUUUUAUUCAGGUGUUGGAGAUUAUAAUCCUAUAGAUGCGUAUCAGUUGCAUACAUGAUAUAUUAGAGCUCAACCCCUUAAAUACAGUGAUCAGCGAUGACAAUGUUUCACUGGUUAACUAACUAGAUAUUGGAUCUCAACUGUUGUUUGUUGACCACAAGAAAGUGUCGAUCGAUGGUCCUAUAGGGAUAUCGAUCGAUACACCUUUCACAAAUAUCGAUCGAUUGUCAGAAGACAAUAUCGAUCGAUGCUUCUAGUUAAGCCUUAGGCGUAAGUUGAUAAUGCUCACUAGCUUUCUAGUUCAGCGGUAGCCUUUUUCCAGUUGUCUAGUAUGACAGAUUAGGUUCAGGACUGGAUGGUCAAGGAUGCUUGACUCAUGCAGAUUCCUAGGUUCAAUAUUCUAGUUAGCUAAUCUAGAACAAGCAUUAAGAACAAUCAAUCAAUGAAUACCACAACUUAGCAAUCUAUAGUUGGGGCUAAUCCCUCUAACCUAUUUGAACCCUGAAUCUAACAGGUAAACUACUCAGACAUAGCUAAGCAAUUCAUGGCACAAAAUAUAAAUAAAAACUGCAUAGAAUAGAAUAGAUGAAUCAAUGGAGUUCCAAUCACAAAUCUCUCUAUGAUCUUCUCUGCUAAAACUCUCUGCUGAAAAUAAGAAUAUAAAGGUGGCCAAAAGCUCCCUUGCCUCCUAACACUUAGGCAAGUAUAUAACUAUUAGGUUAAAAACUCAUCAGGGGUAAUCUUGUAAUUUGGUGAAGUCUUGGGUUUAAAGUCGGCUGGAACCAAGUCGUGCUUCCGCGUCUCGACAUCGAUCGAUCAUAAUCUUCAAUCGUCGUGGCUUCCCUUCUGUAUCGAUCGACGACACUGAAUGUGCAUCGAUCGAUUGUGUCUUCUUCGUAUCGACCUCUAUUGGUCAGCUCGGAUGAAUACUCAUUUAAGCUCCUAAAUGCUCCAUAAUCAUCACUUUACUCCAAGAUACUUUUGAACCUGAAAACAUACCUAAUAGGAUAGAAUAUAUAGUAUAUAGAUAGUAAAAUACUUAUACACCAUGGGUAUAAAUGGGUCAAAUCCAUGGUAUAUCAACUCCCCCAGACUUACCCUUUUGCUUGUCCUCAAGCAAAACAAACAGACAGUCUCUCUGAAAGAGGUUUGAAAACAGCAGGGACUUAUAGAUAUAAAACAUAGAAAUCAUCACCUCUACAAUUUCGCAAACCACAUCUAAAAAGUCUGAAUCACAAAAGCACAUUAUGCAAUAUCCUAACUUAGCAACCAAAUUCAACUAGUUUACAACUCAGCAAAUCCUGGCUGACAUUUCCCUCUACUAACCUCAUUUCUUAGCAUAAAUAUAAAAGUGCAUGCUUUACCUUGGGAGUAUUGAUCACAGGAUGCAAGGAUUUCAGACAAGUAUCUGGAACUGCAGGUAAAAGUUAGUUCCUAAUUUCUCUCUCUCUAAUUUCCAUUUUGAGUCAAAGUCUGCUUCCAUUGCAAGAUCAGUGACCAAGAUUGGACAGACUUCCAUGAAUCAUGACUUAAUGGUGGUUGCUACCAAGUCCUGUUCACUUCUUUUUGACCUAUAUCCAAGAAUUCUUUGUGAAGCGAGCCUUGAAGAUUGCCGCCUCCAAGUCCCGUUCGAAUUCUUUAUUUGGAAUCUUUAUGAAGCAAGCCUUAAUGGUUGUAGCCACCAAGUCCUGUUCAGAUUCCUCCUAACUAAAUCCUAAGUCCUAUAUAAAUAAUAAUUUUCGGAUUGUUUUUUUUUUAAAUAAAAACUAACUACUCUAGGGUCGAAAUAGAGAGAGAAAAUUGUGAUAAAUAAAUCUACAUAAGGCUUUACCUUCCAGACUUGUCUGAAAAAUCCGAUCCCACGUAUACCAAGCCCCAAGACAAACGAUUAUGUCAGGUUUAGUGUUGGAGGUCAGCUUUGGUUCCUUCAAACAAACAAGGCAAGUGUGUAUAGUUGACAGGUUGAUCCACUUUAGCAUCUUAGUACUAUCUGCAAUCAUUAAAUCUAGAAUGGUGCUAAAGAGUGGUUAGAUAUUCAAGUAAUAAUCAUAGUCUCUUUCACAUAGCUAAGCAUAAUUUAUCAAAAAUCUUUUUAUAAGAAUCAGAUUAAAUCAUAUCAGUAAACCUCCCCCCGGACUUAAAUUACACAGUCUCAGUGUAACACAGUCGGAGUUACGGUGGAAAUAAAUCAUAAGUACAAAUGUAACAAAUUAGGAAGAUAAACCUGACCGGAGUGGGAAUCGAUCGAUGUGCAUAGGUAUGCAUGGAUCGUCGUGUGUGAUCGUCUGUCGAUCGAUGUCGACGUCUCGUCCACGGUCGAUAUGUUGGUAAUCAUCCUGCUUAGGUCUUGCAAUAAAUCUGAAAGAAUAAAAACGAAAGUAAAUACUAAUAACUAGGAAAACCAAUUAAAAUUACCUAAUAGUGGGUUGCCUCCCACUCAGCGCUUUGUUAUAGUCAUGUAGCUUGACUUUGGAGGUAUGUGGCUAGUUGGUGGAAAAACAGCUACUUGUUGGGAAUAAAGCAUCCACUUCAUCUCUGCACAUUCUGGACCAAGCUGCAAUGAAACUUCUUGUGGCCUCAUCAUUUCUGGUCCAUCUCUCAUCCAUCUUUUAUACUGCAUUUGAGAUGUUCUGUAGCCUUUCUAGGAUGUCUUCAAUGCUGAACUGAUACCAGCUUAUCUUGCUGUAGGCGUAUUCUGAUAGCUCGUUCAGUUACUCCUGCGUUGACUCCAUGUGGGUUGGUAUCAGCUGCGCGUCGUAUGGUAUUGACGUGGUAUCGAUCGAUGCGACUAAGUGUCUAUCGAUCGUUUCUGGUGCUCUAUUGUCGAUCGAUUUGGAGUGUCCUCCGUCGAUCGAUGCUGAUAUCUGGUGUUGAGAUGCGAGUUGCCUCUGAAUGGCUUGGACUUCCUUCUGUAUCCAUUCUUCUUGGCUAUCUAGUCCACUGAGUUUGACGUCGAAUGGAAAGUAGAUGUCAUCACAUCGCUUCUCAAGUCGGUCCUCCAAGGUGUCUAUAGCUAUGUAAAGCUUUGAUGUGAUCUGAUCAACUUCUGCUGGUGUGUAGGGAAGAUGUUCUGUAGGUUUCUUGCCGUCGAGCGAUGUCCCUCGGAACCUAUCGAUCGAUGUUGAACCUUCUUCCUGAAAAUCGUGUUGAUCAUUAAGCUUACCAAUGUCCUUCUGGACAUUAAUCAUCUGUGUAGACAAGGUGUCCAAGUAUCGCAUGAUAGGUGAGGUGAAACGGUCGUGCAUAUCCUCAUAAGAUUUUAACAUAUCCUCCAUUGCUGCGAACCUUGUGUCGAUCGAUGUGAUGUUGCAGAUAUCGAUCGAUGUGGCUGGCUGUGGAUCAUUCAUGCUAAUGGUAUCCAAAUCUUGCUGUAGCAGAUCAAUUAUAGUGCUCAACCAGUCCACGUUGUUGUUGAGAGGGUUGUAAACGUCGUUAAUCCUCGUGUUGAUGUAUGCGAUCUCCAAUUCAUCCUUCUUCUCUGCCAAACUUUUCGGUUUUGCAGGAAUCUGGGAUGUCUGUGGCUUGACGUCGAUCGAUGUUGCUUUUUUGGCGUUGAUCGAUGGUGAUGUCGUAGUUUCCUUCUCAAGGUUGUGCUGCAUACUCUCAAUCUAUGUCCUCAUCUCUGCCAUACAUCUGAAAGCUGAUUGUAACCUCUGUCCAAAGGCUGAUAAGUGUCAUCUACCAAUGUCUUGAAUUCAUCUCCUAGCUUUUCCUGAGCUCCACAAAUACCAGUCACCAUCUCAUUUAUCUCAUCCUUGGUGUAGAUCUCUGGUGCCAGUUUUGUAGGUGUGAAGUAAGUGGCAUGUGCUGGAAGACAUAUGUGACUCUUUCCAAAUAGGGAUGCUCUCUCCAGAAUUUUUCUGAUGUUGUCCUUGGUAACAGGGAUCUUCUCACCAGCUACGCUUCUUGCAUGUCCAGACUCAUCUCUGUAGACACCAUAUUCGUCCUUAUGUUCCCAUCUAAACUUUCUGGCGCCAUAGCUGUCAUAAGCGCGACGUCCACAUUCGUAACGUCUAUCGAUCGAUGGUGAAGGUGCCUUAUCGAUCGACGUUGGUGUUACCCUGUCGAGCGAUGUAGAAGCAACCUUGUCGAUCGAUGCUUGGCCAACAAGUCUGUACGAUUGGUGUGAACCAAUUCCUAUUGUGUUUGCUCUUGGAUUUCCGUCUGGAACAGCUGGAUUGUUGUCUGGAAUGUUGCGUUGCUGCAUAAACAAGUUAUCUGAUCCAUUGACCAACUGAAUGAUAUCUGCUAUGUCCUCUCUGGAUACUUGUAGAAUUCGUCCAUCCAUAGCUCUUGCAUGGCCAUCUUGGUCCCUGAAAAUACCAAAUUCAUCACGCAAUAGAAAGUGGUAAUCAAUACUCAUAUUCUUCUUAGUAGAUAAAGAAAGUUUAGGUUUAGAAUGAGAAUCGAUCGAUGUUGCUACUGGGGUAUCGAUCGAUGGUAGACGUUUGUUUGCGGAAUUAGGGGUUUUGGAUCGAAUGCUCUUCCUGGAUGUUCCUUCUGAUUGGUUUGUGGGAGCAUUCAUCUUUUCUGCUUCUGUUUCGUGAGAAGUAAUCUGGGGUGCAAAACUCCUUAUAUAGGUAUUGGUAAACCUAUUUGGAAUAGGAAUAUUCCCUUUUUCCUCUUUUAAGGCAGCAGCCUUAAUAUCGAUCGAUGUACCAGGUGUGGUAUCGAUCGAUGCAGAAGAUUGUUUUGCGGGAUGAGGGUGGGUAUCGACCGAUGCUGAGUAGACGUUGUCGAUCAAUGGUGAAGGCGUAUUGUUGAAGGAAUGGGUUGAAUAUCUUUCAUCCUGCAUAGCAAUCUAUGUAGCUCUUUCCUUCCAGUAAUCCUCAUCAUACUCCUCAGUAGGAUCCUCAUUGGAUGAAAGAAUCACAGUCUCCACUCCAAAACUUUCAUGGACUCCACUAUCUGCCCAACUGCCUAUGGAAUAGUCAUCUCGUCCGCUCUUGUUGGCUUGUUGAAAGGCAAAGUCUGAAUAGUACUGAUCUGGUAAUGUGGAGUUGUCUACCAGUUGCAUCCCGUCGAGCGAUGUGGAAGAGCAUUCCUCGGUCAUCGUUGACUCAUUGGAAUCGAUCGAUGUGACUGUGUGAGUGUCGAUCGAUUCCGAGUACUCGGUUUCGUACUCUGCUCCACAGUGGCAUGCUGCAAUGUAGCCAAGAUCAUUUCCAAGCUCCACGACAUUGACCUGUUGUCUCACAACUCGAACUAGGUCAUAGUGGACGUCUGGAUCUAUCAGUUUCAGACACAGUCUGUUGGUGUUCAUGUCACAUACAGCUCCUACUGUAGCUAGGAAAGCUCUUCUAAGCAGAAGUGAAGAGUUCCAGUUAAGCUUGAUGUCCAGGACAUGAAAAUCUACUGGGACAAGGGCAUUACCAAUCUGUACCUCAAGGUCUCUUAUGAUGCCUCCUGAGCUCCUUUCUGAAAGAUCCACGAAGGUGAAAGAUUCUGAUGAGGGCUCUAUUUUCUGACCCAGCUGGUCUGCCAUAACCUUAGGAAGUACACUGACUGAUGCUCCUGUGUCACAAAGUGCAUGGGGAAAUUCAAUACCUUUUACCAUAUAUGGUAUUGCAAACUUCCCAUGAUCACUCUUCUUCUUCAAUGUGAUUCUUAGUUUCAUCAUUUCCCUGAUGUAAUGAAACAUUCUCUUAAUGUCUUCCUCAGUCUCCUUAGUCUCUCUGAAGAACAUCCACAGCCGGUGUGUGUAAUAAACUUCAUCAAAUUGUUUCUCCACUGGGAUUCUGAAGACUCUCUUAGUGAAACCAUCCAUCUCCUUCUCAUUAGCUUCCCUCUUAAGGUGUUUAGGAAUCUUCUCCUUCCUUUUCCUUAACACUCUUCCCUCAGUUGCCUCAUCAACUUGCAUAGGCUCUGGUGUAGUGUCUGAAGGGUUGGUUGUAGGUUUUGUUGGGUUUACUAAAGGUUUAGGUGGUGGUCUGAGUGUGUUGAUUUGGUUACUAUCAAUAGAUGGUAAUAGCACUCGGUAGGUGAGAGGUGCCCGGCGAUCGACGGGAGGUGAGGGGGGUCGAUCGAUGUCGGUCUCUCUUUGUCGAUCGAUGUCUGGCUCAUGCGGUCGAUCGAUUUUGACAUAGAAAGGGGAGGGUGGGUGAGGAUGUUUUUCUACGAAUUCCUCGUGAGUAAUGAUUCGAACUGCACUACACUCUUCAAUCGAUUCAGCAGAUGAUGUCGAUCGAUUUCCAUAGUAAUCUGUCGAUCGAUCUUCAUCCUGGUAUGUUGAUCGAUGUGCAUCCAUUGACAUCGGUCGACACCAAUGUGAUCCGGCGAAGCUCAUGGAGCUUUCAACUUCGAAAUUUCCUUCUCCAAGCUUCUCAUGCUUCAUCACUUGCCAGAAAUCAUCAUCUAGGAUGGCAUUCACGUGGUGUUUUGCCUUCUCAUUAGCUUCCCUCUUAAGGUGUUUAGGAAUCUUCUCCUUCCUUUUCCUUAACACUCUUCCCUCAGUUGCCUCAUCAACUUGCAUAGGCUCUGGUGUAGUGUCUGAAGGGUUGGGUGUAGGUUCUGGUGGGUUUACUAAAGUUUUAGGUGGUGGUCUGAGUGCGUUGAUUCGGUUACUAUCAAUAGAUGGUAAUAGCACUCGGUAGGUGAGAGGUUCCCGGCGAUCGAUGGGAGGUGAGGGGGUCGAUCGAUGUCGGUCUCUCUUUGUCGAUCGAUGUCUAGCUCAUGCGGUCGAUCGAUUUUUGACGUAGAAAGGGGAGGGUGGGUGAGAAUGUUUUUCUGUGAAUUCCUCGGGAGUAAUGAUUUGAACUGCACUAUACUCCGCAAUCGAUUAAGCAGAUGACGUCGAUCGAUUUCUAGAGUAAUCCGUCGAUCGAUCUUCGUCCUGGUCUGUUGAUCUAUGUGCAUCCAUUGACAUCGGUCGACACCAAUGUGAUCCGCCGAAGCUCAUGGAGCUUUCAACUUCGAAAUCUCCUUCUCCAAGCUUCUCAUGCUUCAUCACUUGCCAGAAAUCAUCAUCUAGGAUGACAAUCACGUGGUGUUUUGCUUUCUCAACUCCUACCUCUCUAGCCAAGGCUUCUUGCCUUUUUACAGUGUCUGCAGUCUGAACCACUUGCAUUUCAAGCUUCCUUACUUGAGUCCCUAAGGUCUCAAUCCUUGUGUUCUGGCUGUUGUAGGCUGAAUCUAUCUUCCCAAUGAAAUCCACAAUGAGUUGUUGCUGUCCUUCUAGAACUCUGUCAAGCAUUGCUUCGAUCUUGCUUUCCUGAGUCUGAGGUGGUGGAUUCUGGUAGUAUGAGUUUCCAUAGCCUCUGCUGUUGUUGCUGAAAGGUUUCUGGAACUGUGAACUCUGGUUACUCCUCUGACCAUUGCCAUAGAAGUUUUUGUUUCCACCCUCGUUUCCAGACCUCUGAAAUCCAGUACGUCCAAUGUAGUUUACAUCUUCUUCUCCUUCCAUGUCGACAAUUACUUCUCCUUCAGCUGAGCAGACCUACUUCCUAAGAAGCUCAUGAACCACAUCUAACUUUGUUCUAACUUCGUCCAUCUGCUCCUAUCCUAGGGAUGUUACAGACUUCUUCCUCUCAAAGUCAGUGUUCUUGGUGCUGAUGUUGUUUGCUAGAUUUUCUACCAGUCUCAUAGCUUCCACCGGAUUCCUGGUGUUGAAGUUUCCCUCGCUAGCUAUAUCAAGAGCCAUCUGAUACCUCAAGGCGAUACCUCUGAAGAAAGUGCUCAGCAGUUGCACUUCAUUGAAUCCGUGGUGUGGACAGUCUCGCUGGAAGAACUUGAAUCUGAUCCACACAUCUUUAAAAGACUCUCCAGUCUCCUGCGCGAAUGUAGCAAUUUUUCUCCUCAAGUCUUCAGCGCGUACCUCGUCAAAGAAGUUUCGCAAGAAAGCAUUCUUGAUGUCGGCCCAGGACGUUAGAGAUCCUGUGGGUAGCUGCUUAAGCCAGUGCAUCGCUUCUCCAGUCAGAGUAUACUUUAAGAGCUUGCACAAUAGGUAGUCCUCAGGGACUCCAUCCAUACGAAUAUCAGCGAUAAGAUCCUCGAACCUCUCCAGAUGGUCUAUAGGAUGCUCGUGCAGUAAACCAGAGUAGGGUAUCUGCGACACGAGUGUGUAGUACUGAGGCUUCAGCUCAAAAUUUUCCUCCUGAAUCUCUGGAAGUCGAAUAGCUAAUUUGUUGGCGUAGUACUCGUCUGGACGAUUGUAGUCAGCCAGUGCCUUUGGUGGAGCAGCCUCUUCUACAGGUUGAGCAGCUCCUGUAGCAUCAGCAUCAGGGAUUACAGUCCCCUGAGCGUCUAGUUUCUGACCUGUUGCAUUACGCAGAUGACCAUCCUGGUCAUACAGGUUUCCAUUCUCAUCCUGUCUGAGAAUAACAAUCGCAACCAUGCUUCGCGACUGAGGAUCGAUCGAUGUACGCGGUGUAGAAUCGGUCGAUGUCAAACGAUGUAUAUCGGUCGACGAUGAAGGUCAGGUGUCGCUCGAUGGGUGGGUACGAGAGUCAGUCGACGUGAAAGCUUCUGCGUCGAUCGAUGUGGAACGUUGAUCUUUGCGGAUCGUGUGUUCCAAGUGAGCAGGAUCUUCUAAGAAUAGCAUGUGUUUUUUCCUUGUUGCUUCUGGUACUGCUGGACAUGCACCUGAAAAGACAAGAAAAAAAUUUGUGUCAGAAUGGGGGUAAAUAAAAAGAAAAGAAUUAAUAACACUAAAUCUAAUGGAGAUCAAAGCUCUCCGGCAAUGGCGCCAAAUUUGAUACCACUCAAAUUACCCUAAGAAGUGAAUUACUCUCUCAAAUAAGAGGUUCAAUUGUAGUACUUAGGGAUCGAAUCCACAAGGAGCUAGGGAACCUAUUAAAUCUAGUAAUUUAUUAAUUCUAAGUGUUUGUUGUUUUAUGGUUUAAAUAUAAAUAGCAAUCCUAAUUGAGCAAGUCUUUUGCUCGACUAACAAGAUGAUUUGGGGGUGUAACUUAUUGGAAAGGUAUUAGAUGCAGGGUUUCUAUUCAGGUGUUGGAGAUUAUAAUCCUAUAGAUGCCUAUCAGUUGCAUGCAGGAUAUAUUAGAGCUCAACCCCUUAAACACAGUGAUCAGCGAUGGCAAUGUUUCACUCGUUAACUAACUAGAUCUUGGAUCUCAACUGUCGUUUAUUAACCAUAAGAAAGUGUCGAUCGAUGGUCCUAUAGGGAUAUCGAUCGAUACACCUUUCACAAAUAUCGAUCGAUUAUCAGAAGACAAUAUCGAUCGAUGCUUUUAGUUAAGCCUUAGGCGUAAGUUGAUAAUGCUCACUAGCUUUCUAGUUCAGCGGUAGCCUUUUUCCAGUUGUCUAGUAUGACAGAUUAGGUUCAGGACUGGAUGGUCAAGGAUGCUUGACUCAUGCAGAUUCCUAGGUUCAAUAUUCUAGUUAGCUAAUCUAAAACAAGCAUUAAGAACAAUCAAUCAAUGAAUAUCACAACUUAGCAAUCUAUAGUGGGGGGUAAUCCUUCUAACCUAUUUGAACCCUGAAUCUAACAAGUAAACUACUCAGACAUAGCUAAGCAAUUCAUGACACAAAAUAUAAAUAAAAACUGCAUAGAAUAGAAUAGAUGAAUCAAUGGAGUUCCAAUCACAAAUCUCUCUAUGAUCUUCUCUCCUAAAACUCUCUGCUGAAAAUAAGAAUACAAAGGUGGCCAAAAGCUCCCUUGCCUCCUAACACUUAGGCAAGUAUAUAACUAUUAGGUUAAAAACUCGUCAGGGGUAAUCUUGUAAUUUGGUGAAGUCUUGGGUUUAAAGUCGGCUGGAACCAAGUCGUGCUUCCGCGUCUCGACAUCGAUCGAUGGUACAGGAUGUACAUCGAUCGAUCAUAAUCUUCAAUCGUCGUGGCUCCUCUUCUGUAUCGAUCGACGACACUGAAUGUACAUCGAUCGAUUGUGUCUUCUUCGUAUCGACCUCUAAUGGUCAGCUCGGAUGAAUUCUCAUUUAAGCUCCUAAAUGCUCCAUAAUCAUCACUUUACUCCAAGAUACUUCUGAACCUGAAAACAUACCUAAUAGAAUAGAAUAUAUAGUAUAUAGAUAGUAAAAUACUUAUAUACCAUGGGUAAAAAUGGGUCAAAUCCAUGGUAUAUCAAGUGGUAUGUAACCAAAAUAAAAAUUUGCUAUAGAAAUAUACUAGUUCAUUAAUUUAUAAAAUACUAUUUACAAAACUGUUUUAAAAUAUCAUGAGAAAAAUUCAUAACAAAUAAUUUUGUUACUAAAUAGAGUUCAACAAAAGGUAUAAUAAGUUACAAAACAUAAACAGUAAAACACUAAAGUUUCAUUAAUAUUUAUAUCGAGAUAUAAUUAUAAUCUGCAACAAUUAUAUUCUAAAACAUCAUUUUUCUGAUAAAUUAGAAAAUAUUAACUAUUAUUUAUGAUAUUAAUAAACUGUAUAUAUAGUAUUUUAAAGUUGAGUUUUACUUAUUUUAUCAAAUUAUAUUAUAUUUUAAAUGAUUUAGCUUGGAGAUAGACUAAUUCAUUUUCAUAAAAUAAAUCAUUUGUGUAAAAGUGUUUUAAAAGGUAAAUAUUCUUGAAAUAAAUUUAGUAUUAUUUAUUUAAACUUUAUAUUUUAUAUGUAAAAUUGAAAUAUAAAUAAUAGAUAUAAUGUAUUAUUACAUUUUCUGAAUUAGUUUUUGCUAAUUUUGUAUUCUCUACAGAAUAGAGAAUAUGAAGUUUACUAUCAUUUUAAUUCCAACCAAAAAUAUUUAUUAUAAACAACAAUAUGAUCUCAGAUUUUUUUUAUUUGUUGUUUGUCUAUAAUAUCGUUUUCAAUCUAUAAUAAUUUUAAAAGCUUCAUAAAAUUAAUAUAAAUUUAUAUAAAAUAGUUUUUAUCAUAACUUUCUGUCCAUUGGACGGGCCAACCCUAGUUAAAAAUAUAAGAGAAAGGCUGGAAAGUAUCUCAAAUGUAGAAGUGUCAUAGUUCUAUGAAUUAUUCCAACUAGGCUCAUUUUUCUAUAAAUUUUAGUAGUAUGUAAAUUCUAAUUUAGAUCAUCAUGAUCACGAGUAAGUUGAAUAACCAUAUAAAUCUAUACAAUAAAUAUAAUAAUAAUAUUGAUGAAUUUAAAAUAUUAAAAUAAUUUUUUAGAACAUAAUAAAAAAAGUAAUUAUUAAAAAUAAUUUCAAAUAUGAAAUGAAAAUAUCUAAUUUGAGAUAAAUGAUUUUGUGGAAAAAAAAAUCACCUCGCUCUAUGUUUUGAUAUAAGAUUAUUUAAAUGAUUUUAGAAUAAUAUUAUGUUUUCCUAAAAAAAUCUUAUAUAAUUUUUUAAAAAAUAAUAAUUGAUAUAUCACUUAUAUUCAUCUUAUAUAGAUAAAAUGAAAAUUAUAUAUAUAUAUAUAUAUAUAUAUAUAAUUUUGACUCUAAAAAAUAUAAGCUCAUGAACUAACUCAUGCUCAUGAACUAGCUCAUGCUCAUUAAAACUCACAUAUAACUUGCAAGCUAAAUUAAGCUUGAUCAUUAAAACUCAUUUAAUAAAUGAACCUAGAAAAUAGAAUUCUUGCUUAAGAAAAAUCGAAAUGAGGUGAGUCAAGUCAGCUCAUGAGCUCCCAACUCAUUUUGACACCCUUAUUUGAAUAAAAUAUAUUUAGAUACUCAUGCGAAAUGUUUUCUAUUGUUGUCAAAAAAAAAAAAAAUACUCAUGAGAAAUCCUCUUCGCAAAUGUAAAUUUGUAAAUGGUUUGAUUUAAAAUAUAUAUUUAAGUUUAAUCAACUAACUCAAUUCCAUUAAACUACUGAUAUAAAUCAAGUUAGAAUCUUAAUUUGAUAGCUCUUUUCUCGCAAUUUCUAAAACAAAGGUUCUUAAAACAAAAUAUAGUAUUUAAAUUAAAUAAAUAAUUUUGAUUUAAACUAAAUCACUAGAUUGUUUAGAUAAGAACAUGUGGAAUAAAAUCCAUUUGGAUGAUAGCAUGUAGAAGUAAAGGUUCUUAAGAGGUUUUCUCAAAUAAGAAUCGAUCAUUUAUCACUAUAUGAUAAUACUCAAUUAGUGAUUACUAAUUAUAUAUAUAAAUUUUUGGUGUGAUGAUGGUGUAACAAUAUUUAAAAAAAAAAAAUUCCUUUCUCUCUUGCUUGUACGCAAUCUAAACUCUAGCCGCCUCAGCCGGUGGUGGUUGUGUCUCCACUGCACUGCCGCCGGCUACCUAUGUCUCUCCUUUUUCCUUCUCCUCUCUCUCUCUCUUUCCNNNNNNNNNNNNNNNNNNNNNNNNNNNNNNNNNNNNNNNNNNNNCUUUCCCUUUUCUUUCUUUCUCCUGUUCCUUCCGAUAUACUUACUUCUCUGGGGAGUCAGCUCCGACGUCGUUGUUUGGUGCUAGGCUUUGCUGGAGUGGUGGUAAGGACCUGGUUGGAGCUUGAAGUAGGUGGUUCUUUUGGGUGGUGUUCAGAGAUUUGGUGUAGAUCUGACCAGAUCUGGAUGUUGUGGUUGUUUGAGCGGUUUUGCCGCUUUGCUGCUCCGAUGUUUUCUACUCGAUUUGAUGAUGAACGUUCCUCGUUUUCGGUUUGGGAGGUUGGGCUCUCUGUCGUCUUCUCUUCAUAUCUGCCUAUUAUGGAAAGCUUAAUCGUCAUUAUACACAAUGAUUUACAAUAUAUAGAGAGUACAUGUGAGGGUUUAUACAAACAGUAAUUACACUUAAGUCCCUUAAUAUAUUGUAUCUUUAUACCCUCCCUCAAGAUGGAGGCAGUUCCUUGACACCAAUCUUGCUUCGUAGUUCAGUGAAUAGCGGAUGAGGCAAUGGCUUUGUAAGCGAGUCAGCUAACUGGUCUAUAGUUAACUGGUCUAUAGUGUGGACAUGUUGAACACGCAAGACCCCAACCUGAAAAUUACCACUAAAAAAGUGAUAAUCAAGAGCAACAUGUUUCAUCCUAGAAUGAAAUAUCGGGUUUGCGCAGAGGUAUGUCGCUCCGACGUUAUCACAAUAAAUGACCGGUGAUGUGGGAAGUCUGAUACCGAUUUCAGAAAGAAGUGAGCAGAUCCACCUUAGUUCUGAAGCAGUGUUGGCCACAGCUCGAUAUUCAGCUUCCGUAGUUGAUCUCGCAAUGCUUGGGUGUUUCUGCGACGACCAUGAUAUAGGAAUGCCACCUAUGUAGAUUAAAUAGGCAUUUGUGGAAAUGUAGUCGUCAACAUUGCCUGCCCAAUCGGCAUCUGAGAAAGCAUGAACCGUGAGUGGUGUAUUGGCGCUCAGGAAAAUACCAUGAGAGGUCGUGCCGGCCAGAUAUCUCAAGACCCGUUUCACUGCCUGCCAAUGAAGAUCAGUCGGUCGAUGCAUGAAUUGGGAGAGCCUAUUGACUGCGAACGCGAUGUCUGGCCUUGUGAGAGACAGGUACUGAAGACUCCCGAGAACCAUACGAUACUCUUUAGGGUCUUGGAGAGGUGUACCCGAAAGUAGAGAUAGAUUUGGCAUGGGUUGCAUCGGAGUGUUGACAGGUUUUGCCUCAGACAUGUUGAGCUUGUGAAGAAGAUCAGUAAUGUACUUCUUCUGCAUCAGAUGGAGACCUUGUGGAGAUUGGAUAGCCUCUAUUCCCAAAAAAUAACUCAAAUCACCAAGGUCUUUGAGUGAGAAUCGAGAGCUGAGGGAGGCAAGUACAGCCUGGACAGACACAGAGUCUCCUGCAAGAAUUAUGUCAUCUACAUAGACAAGGAUAUAAAUGCAGCUAUUUCCUCUGUUGUAGAUGAAAAGGGACGUAUCAGCUAGAGAGUUAGUGAAGCCCGAUUCCAGAAGAAACUUGCGGAGCUCAGUAUACCAAGCGUGAGGCGCCUGUUUGAGGCCAUAUAGCGCCUUGUUCAAGCGACAAACAUGAUGAGGUCUGUCAUGUCCCCGAUCCUGGAUAGGAUCGUCCGGACGGACUGUGGUGCGAGGAAACGCACCAGUCAGGUCAUAUGACCUAAAGACAAGUAUAUCAUGGCCUGAAGGUAAGGUUAAGGGCAUCAGGAAGCUAAGGCAUAGCUAAUCCAAGAAGGAGACAAGCUCAAAGGAGCUGGACAAGAUCCAGGUGAAGCUCGAUGAAGUGAGUGAUCAGAAUGGAUCAUGGGAAAACUAAGUCUAGGUCUGGAAAUUGACCAAGGGACUUAGAAGGAUUAAUGAAGAUAAAGGAAGCAAGCUGGACACAGUGUAUAACAGCUGGGCGAUGCAGUAAGCAAGCUCGACCAGCUAGGUGAAGUGUAGUGCAGCUCGGUGUAGCUCACUGAAGUAUAGGUCAGCUCCCUGAGCUGGAUGGUCUAGCUCAAUCAGCUGGAUCAUCUGGGAUCAGCUCAACUCAGCUGGAUUGAGUGUUCAGGUGUUGGGCAGUUGGGCCAGGUCUGGACAGUGGCCGGGCCAUGUGGGUGACCCGUGUGUGCCGAUGGGCUAGUGGGCUCUUGGGAUUGAGCCAGGGGCAUGGGCAGCCCGUGUGGGAUAGUUUUGGACAUGUCCAGGAGUGGUUUGGCAGUUCCAGGGCGUGUGGUAACUGCCAUAGGCGAAAGGGUGCAAUCUGUACCAUUGAUUAAAUCAAUGGCCAGAAAUGAUACCGAAGGGAUGCAAUGGUUAAGAAGUAACCACCCCUUCUCCUAUAUAAGGAAGGCAAGUCCGUGCCUUUGCAGGCACGCCAGAGCUUCCUUCUACACCCUGAAACACAAAGAAUCCAGAGAAAAAUACAGAGAAUUGGUCGGAUUUCCAAUCCAAGACCCAUGGUGGUGUGAAGGCCAUAAAGAGACAGUUUUGGGGCAGAUCAAGGGGGAAGUUGAGAACGACCCUCUGAACGGUUUUGAUCAUUGUUAACAACACCCAAAGCCUUAUCUGGAGCCUGUGAACACACGCAAAUAGUGAGGAAAGGAGGGAGUUGGCCGGAAUCCAUUCCCAAGGGCCAAUGCAGCCUUAAAGGGAGAUUGGUGUGGAAAGCAGUUUCAUGGGAAACAAAGAGGGAAGUGAUGCACGACCUUUGGAUUGUGAUUGAUCAUGGAUGAUCAUGUCUAAGGAUUCCUCUGUGUCUUGGGAACACACGCAAUUGGUUAGGAGAGAAGGGGGAAGGCUUGACUCCACUCUCAAAGGCAUGAACAGCCUUGAAGAUGGAUGCAGUAUAGAAACUGGUUUCAUGGAAGUUCCAUGGAAGGAGUGAUGGGCACGAAUCAUGGUUAGAUCUUAUCAAUACUGGGAGUAUGUGAUAAGGGUUUGAUGAAGGCGUGCUAGGAGGAGCAUGGACGCCCCUGAUGAGGUAACAGGUGGGGACUGCAGACCAUUGGACAUAGUCUGGUACACUAUGGGCAGAUCUGGUCCUGCAGUUACACCUUACUCUGUUUUAUGAUUAUUAAUCAUAUUAUCCCUUCUUCUUAUGAUUGAGAUUGAUGAUUAGACAUAGUAGCACUGAACCAUGGCUUGGCCGGUUCAGAAGAACCCUCCAUGGCCUUGGUUUGGCAGCUAAGUCCGGAUCUCCUACUUCCUGAUGGAUUUAUGGCGAUCUGACUUUGGAAUCCUCUUAGUGGUGAAUUAUCAUGAAUUAUCAUGGUAUUUGGAGAUUUUUAUCUGAUUGAUUUCGAGAUGGUCAAGGUGGCUGGUGGUGCUGUUCUAGGUCGAGAUCCAUAGGAUCGAGAUCGGUUCUUGGAAUUCUGAAUUGACCAUUCUCUUAGUUAAGAUUUAUCAUGAAUUAUCAUGAAUCCUAAUGAGUUUUUAGGGAUUGAUUUAGAGAUGGUCCCCUGGGCCGGUUUGGCUGAUCUUGGCCGAGAUCUAUGGGCUGGAGGCCGGUUCUGGGAAAUCCGAUUGGACCAUUCUCUUAGUUAUGAUUUAUCAUGAAUUGUCAUGAAUUUUAAUUGAUUUUUGGAGCAGGUUUGCUUGGGGUCGAAAUUGCACCUGAGGGCAUAUUGGGGUCAGAUCCUUGUGUUAGGAUAUCUGAUCAUAUGUUUGUGUGCUGGAACAUAUUGUCACUUAUGAUAUUGAUCAUAAGGAAUUGCUGGUUAUCAACCUUGGUUUUGGUAAGGUAUGGGCAAUGCAUUGGCUGAGAGCCAGGAAGAAGAGUACAGCUAAGUACUUGGUGGCGUGGACCAAAGUACUAAGCUUGGGUGUUAUUAUUCAAGGCAGGCCGUGUGUGAUCUGAUCAUGGGCAAGGAUGGACGACCUGAUCCUUUGAGGUUGGAUAAAGGUGUCUGAUCUGAUUGAUCAAAGGAUGCACCGGUGGUAAGAGAAACACUAAUCAGGUUCAGUGGGACAUGGUUCCAUGACUGAUUAGGAAGUAUGAAGACUCAUCAGUUCUGAGUCAUGUGGGGUGGUUGGUUGAUUGACUUAGGAUCUGAUGGGCAUUGUUAGUCUUUGUGAGGACUUGAUCUGGUUAGUCCAUGAGAGGACUUGGUAUUAUAUUCUACAAAGCGUACUGGAUGAUGCAUGGGCUAAGAAGGGCCAGAUGCAUAUCAGUUACUAUUGAAGACUUCCCAAAGGUUACUUAGUCUGUGGGGAGGGUUGGCUGAAUGACUAAGUACCCAAGGGAAGAGUUUAUGCAGGUAUAAGGGAGUUGGACGAGUGGACGGGGAGCUGGGCAAAGCUACCUCGCAGCUCGAUCAGCUGGAACGGAGCAGCAAACCUCAAGUGAAGUGGUUCAGCUCAACUAGCUGGGUGAGCUAGCUAAGACAGCUAAGUCAGCUGGGACAAUGAGCUAACAAGCUCUGGGAAUGUGGCAAAGGUAUGAUCUGUCAAUGUUGCAUAGAUCUAGAUAGAAUGGCUUAGGGGAACGGAACCUCUGAUUGUAUGACUUGGUCUAGGUUCAGGAUCGACCUUGGAGCUAGCUGGCAGUUGUGUUUACUGACCAGUAGCUGAGGUGAUCUGACCAGACAAGUGUUAGAUUGGAUUUAGUCCAAUGGAUGAUAGAUGUUAUUCCGCUGUGCAUUAGUUGAAAUGAUCUAAGCUAAGGAAUGACUAAGGUAGUCUUGAGCUAAGAUCUGAGUUAGCCCUCGCCUAUGGGCGAUAUUUUUAAAUAAAGGGCAAAAUUUUUAGAGGUUCGGUCAGUGUAUAGACCGAGCGACGUAAGGCAUCGACUGCGGCCUAGUCGGCCGGGAUCAGGUCUUACAAGGUCGGUCACGAUCAACGAACCCAGGGGGCUGAGAGAUAUAAACUUCAUCUGUCAAGGUGCCUUGAAGGAAUGCAUUAUUGAUAUCAAUCUGGUGAAUGCGCCAGUUCUUUUUCACAGCAACAUCAAGAACCAUCAAACUGUAGUCGGUUUUAUAACUGGACUGAAAGUUUCAGAGUAAUCCAGACCGUACUGUUGAUGAAAUCCUCUCGCCACAAGCCGCGCUUUGUACCUUUCAAUAGAACCAUCAUCACGAUAUUUCAGUGUAAAAAUCCACUGACAAGAAAUGAUAUUUUGCUGUGUUGUUGGUUUUGUUAAGUCCCAUGUGUGAUGCUUCACCUGCGCAUUAUACUCCUCACACAUAGUAUUACGCCAGUUGGGAUCUUUGAGAGCCUCUGCCACAGUCGUUGGUAUCUUUGGGUGAGAUUUCUGUGUUGUGGCGAUGAGGCUAAGUUUUGAUUUGGGUUUGCAUAUUUGAUUUUUGGCACGGGUACGCAUAGGGUGGAUAUUUUGUGGUUCAUUGGGUUGAGUGUUUGGGUUUGUUUCGGAGGUUGUGGAUGGUGGCUGUAUAGGAUCAGGUUGUGGGUUAGUGGUGAUCGGGACUGUAGGAACUGUUUGUAAGAUUGAGUUUUCAGGUUGAGUAGCAGGAAGAGGUUGUUCUUGCGACUGUAACAAAGUCGGUGGAGGCAUAGCUGAAGCUGGAGUUGCAGCAGGAGGAGGCGCUGAAGUUGCAGUCGCAGUUGGUGAAGGAAUCUCCUUACACGGGGCCAUGGGCGAAUGAGCUUUUGUUGGCAACACUGUUAAGACCAGUCCUGCACUCUUAUUGACAUCCAUCUCUGUCUCUGUCACAGUCUCUGUCUCAGAUGCAUAUGGGAAGAUAUCCUCUACAAACUGCACAUGGCGUGACGUAUAGAUGCAUCCUGUCUUGGUUUCCAGACACAUAUACACACUUUACGUCAAAGAGUAUCCGAGAAAUACACACUUCGCAGAACGCUCGUCCAGUUUAUGUGUGGUGUAUGGACGGAGCCAAGGAAAACAUAAGCAUCCAAAUACCCGAAGCUUCUUGUAAUUAGAAGUCUGAUCGAAGAGCUUUGCAUACGGAGAUGCACCAGACAAGACCUCAGUCGGCAUUCUAUUUAUCAAAUAGACGGCGGUUGCAAAAUCAUACGGCCAGUAUGUCUUCGGUACAGACGAUUGACUUAGAAGCGCAAGUCCAGUCUCUACUAUGUGCAUGUGCUUUCUCUCUGAGAUACCAUUGUGCUCCGGAGUAUGUGGAGGCGUUUUGAGAUGUGAGAUGCAUUUGUCGGAGAGAUAGGAGUGCAAAGCAAUAUACUCUCCCCCAUUGUCUGAAUAUAAGGUCUUAACCCGGCGCUGGAACCGAUUCUCGACCAAGGCCACAAACGCCAUGAAAACCUCUUUGACUUGUGAUUUUCUUUGCAGUGGAUACAUCCAUGUGUAUCUGGGAAAGUGAUCCACAAUAACCAGAUAAUACUUGGCGUUGUCUUGUGAGAAUAUCGGACAUGUCCAGACAUCACUAUAGAGAUACUCAAGAGCAUGAUGAGAAGAAAUCGUGUUUGACUGAAAUGGUAACUUGGUACUUUUAUUGAUGUAACAAUCAGAAAACGAGAACUGUUUUUGAAGAGAAUGCGAGACAGGUAAUGAAAACUGAGAGACAACAUUAUGCAGAACUGAAAGAGAUGGAUGUCCGAGACGUGCAUGCCAAGAAUAGAGAUCGGUCUUAGGAGAUGGAGAAGCCGCGAGAACAGUGAUGUUGCUUUUGUUAACCGGCCACUCAUAAAGCUCAUUCUUAGUUCUCCCUUGGAGUAACUUGGCUCCCGUGCUGAGAUCCUUCACUUGAAAAUGUGCAGGAAAGAAUUCCACAGAGACACGAUUAGUGUUGCACAAUCGAUAUACAGAGAUUAAAUUCUUUUUAACAUCAGGAACAUAUAAAACUUCUUUAAGUUGAAGAGGACGAGAUGGUGUAGGAAGUAAACCAGAACCAGUAUGAGUAAUCUGAAGGCAUGUUCCGUCAGCAACUUGAACCUCAUAGCCUCCUGAGUAUUGUUGAUGCAUUGACAGGUUCGCAAGGUCUGUGGUCAAGUGAUGAGUAGCGCCACUGUCGAGGAUCCAGUUAGCAGCAUUGUACUGCAGAACCUGAGCGAUAUUAGCUUGUGGCUGCCAAGGUGUGGUUGAGCCACUCGAAGGUAUAUGUGGACAGCGACGAGCCGAAUGACCAUACACCCCGCAAAACUGACAUUUUCCUUGAUAGCCACGACCGGCGCCUUGGUUUUGAUUGUUCUGAGGCUGAUGAGUUUGUUGUUGCUGCCAGAUAUGGUUGUUCUUUGGUGGGAAUCGAUUGUGAUUUCGAUUGUUGGAGCCGUUGUUGUCCGUGUUGCGAGUGUAAGCUGCAUUCGGUGUCAUUGGAACAACAGUUGCAGGAGCCUGAGCCUGGAGUUUGAGCUCAUAGUUGAUCAGUUUCUCAUGAAUUUCAGUGAUCGAGGGAGGAGUAUCGCGUGCCUCAAUCUGAUCAGCAAGGUGUUUGUACUCUUCAGGAAGGCCACUGAUGAUAUAAUCAAUUUGGUCUUCAUGUUCAAUAGGCUUGCCAAGCAAGGCAAUGCGAUCAAAGCGGGUUGUAAACCCUUGAACAUACUCAUCAAUGGUUUUUUGCUCCUUUCUUCCAUUGUUCUAGUUGUUGCUUGAGUUGCUUCACAUGUGCGCGGCUCGGCUUAGCGUAAGUGGAGGCAAGUGUGCUCCAGAUCUGAGCGGAGGUGUUGGUGGUUGAGAGCAUGGGUCGAACUGCGAUAGACAUCGCACCCAAGAGAGGGCUGUAUAUGAGCCGAUCUUGGCGUUUCCAGACCGUGUAGGCUGGAUUCGCAUUGGUGUCUCCAUUGGUGGUGAUCGUUGGUGAUGGCGCUGUCACUGUGCCAUCAAGAUAACCCGACAAAUCAUAACCAUCCAUAAGUGCGAGAAUUUGGCGAUUCCACAUCAAAUAGUUGGUUGUCGUUAACUUGGUUACAUUCGAUAUGUUAACGUUGAGUAUGGAGACUGUGUCUGAGAUACUGAUGGUUUCUGUAGUAGAACUCGACAUGUCCGGUACGGAGGUGGAGACAAAGAAGAAGAAGAAAACGAAGGAGAAGAAGGAGGAGGCGGCCAAGGAAAAAAAAAUUGUUUUUAGGUUUAGAAGAAUCAUAGCUCUGAUACCAUAUUAUGGAAAGCUUAAUCUUCAUUAUACACAAUGAUUUACAAUAUAUUGAGAGUACAUGUGAGGGUUUAUACAAACAGUAAUUACACUUAAGUCCCUUAAUAUAUUGAAUCCUUAUACUGCCAUGGUGGUUUUGGUAGGUCUUCUAGACGUUUUGUGGUGCGGUUCUGUCCUCCUCGGUGGUUAGGAGGUUUUGUCGCCAUCGAUGCUCUUCUCUGGUUAUGCUGUGGGAUCAUGUGGCUAGGUGAUGGUUCACUUAAAAAUCAGUUUAAAGGUCUCGGGUCUUGUUCCUCUGUUUCUCCAGACGUGGCACUCUGAUAGUUCACUGGGUUAGGGCCUCCGUGCAUGAGUUUGAGACUACUCCUAGUUCUCGGCUGUAGUGGCGUUUGCGGGUUCCUGGGUUUUGAAGUUGUCAACCAAGUCUUUUGGUCUCGGUGGCAAAACGUUUGGGUUGUAGCGAAUGUUGGAUCUCUCUCUUUCUUGUGUAGGUUUGGCGGCUGUGGCGAUUAUGUUUCUAAGAGCAUGAUUAUCCCCAAAAACCAAUAAAGUUUCUUAAGUACACUUUAAUGAUUAUUUAACUAAUAAAUGUUAGCUAAGGAUCUUAGUUAAGAAUCACCUAAUUUUUAACCUACAAUGGUAGUUUCUUAAUUUGAGUUUCUUAAAAAAAAAAAAUUUAACUACAUAACAAUUUGCUAUCUUAUAUAUAAGUUCAAACAACAAGUACAAGCAAAGCCAAGAACUUGCAAUAAAAAGAAAAGGGAUUGUGCUUUAUACCUUCUUCCAGCAUAAGUUGAAGAGAGGAGUAAGAUACCUAACACACUGCUUAAAAGUGGCUAAAAACUUUUUUUAAUUGUGCUUUAUACCUUCUUCCAGCAUAAGUUGAAGAGAGGAGUAAGAUACCUAACACACUGCUUAAAAGUGGCUACAAUCUUCUUUCCUUUAGCAGUUCUCCUCUCAGUGUUCUCCACAGCAUCAAGCUCUUGUUUCCACUCAAUCAACAGCUAAAUACACACACAACAAUGUUACAACAUGCUCAGCUUUAAUGGAAUCCACUAACAGAGACUCAAAGGCUUCUACAAUCUUAUUCAUAAAGAGGAACAACUAACAAAUAUUACCUUCUAAUUUCUUCACAAAGAACAUUUUAGUAAUUGAAGAAGCUAAUACUAUGAGCAUAAGAAGAACCAGCAGUGGCCUAUAGGACAGAGUUUCAGCUUAUGGGAGAAACAAAGCAGGAAACGCUAAAUUUGUAUGUAUCUUUUUUCAAGAAGCUCAAUCUGUAAAGCAAACCAAUUUUUCUACAAAUAAUGAAAGAGGAGGAGGGGCAACAAGUGCAUAAAGAAACAAACAACAUAUGAGGCAAGAUAAAAAAACAGAACACACAGAUGAGGUAAUACCGUAAGCAUGUUUGCUGCGAAAGCCUUCACACCACGCAAUAACUCUUGCUUCUCCCUCAUUCUUCUGUUCCUCUUCUUGUGAACUUAUGAUCUCUGCAGCAGAUCAAUAAAAACACAUAAAAUCAGAUCUCCAACUGUUCAAACUCCCGCACACUAGUUAAAAUUGUGUGAAUUCAGACAAGUAAAACUCUCUAAAGUCCCAACAUUGUGUAGCGAACACCAUUUUCGUAAGCCCUGCGCCGUGAAAGCCAAGCAUGACGUCGCACGAAUUAACCGUUUGCGCGAAACUCGCGACGCCUGCGUUCGCUUCCGCCACCAUGACUUUGAAUCCGAUUUGCUUCGCCGCUCGGGCGAUCGCCCCGGCGUUCGUGAACGCUCGCGAUCUCCCCCUCGCCAAAAUCAGCAUCUGUGGUCUCCGCCGCUGAUUCCUCCUCAUAGUCACGGGCCUCACGGCGGCGUUGCGCAACGAGUUCGAGUCUCUACGGAAUUUUCUGACGCCCCCCGGGGGUUCGCCCCGGCGUUCGUGAACGCUCGCGAUCUCCCCCUCGCCAAAAUCAGCAUCUGUGGUCUCCGCCGCUGAUUCCUCCUCAUAGUCACGGGCCUCACGGCGGGCGNNNNNNNNNNNNNNNNNNNNNNNNNNNNNNNNNNNNNNNNNNNNNNNNNNNNNNNNNNNNNNNNNNNNNNGUCACGGGCCUCACGGCGGCGUUGCGCAACGAGUUCGAGUCUCUACGGAAUUUUCUGAAAUCGGACAUCGAGUACUCAGAAUUCGAAGGAUCGAUCGUCUGGACAACGGAGAAUGCUAGAGAAGAGGAGAGAAGGAGAAAAAAGAAAAAAGAAAAAAGAAAAAAAAUUCAUAAUUCACAGUUGCUGACACGUUUAUUAAGAACUCCGUUUACUAUCGGUUGCAAAACCCCUCUAUUAAGGAAAGGUUAUCUAAUUUUUUUUGUUUUGAUUUAAUUAAUGCUUAAAAAUCCACUUAAGACUCAUCGAUAAAGAUGGUCUAAGCACUUGUCCUGAUAAGAGCUUCUUCUUUGACCUACUGGUGGUGGGGAUUUUCUGGUGUUGUAGUAGCUUGCGUAACAGAGAGUGACAAUCAAAUGUUUGGGUUAUGGGUUUGAGGAGUGGAAUGGGCAGUAUCAGACUAAAUUUAAAUUUGAGGAUAAAUUUAAAUUUGAGGAUAGGAUUUAAAUAUUUUUUUUUAAAGUUAAAAUUAAAAUUUUCAAAUUAAAAAAAUAUUUUUUUUUUGGUCAUUGAUCCUCUUUAAGAACUAUUUUUGUGACAAUUGUUUUUAGAAAAAAAACUAUUUGAGAGAAUUACCCUUAUGUAUAUGCUACUUUAUAAGUUAUGGUUUAAUAAUAUUCUCACAAAUAUAUAUAUAUAUAAGGCAUUAAAUGCACAAAUGAAUUUUUUUUUUUUGACAAAUACAACUCUAAAAAAAGUGUGUAAUCCAAACAAGCGAUGGUUGGUCCUUCGCAUUAUUCUGGUUUACAUGCCAUUGCCAUGUGACUGAGCUCUGAGAGAGAAAAAAAAAGGCUGAUCUUUUAGCCUAGUUGCAAAGUUGAAAAAAAAAAAUUAUUAAUAGACUGUUUUUCUUCAAGAGUAGUAUUGUGAAAACAAAAAAAAAAAUAAUUAGAGUUCAAACACUUUUGAAAUUUGAUAAUAACAGGAAACAAUACCGAAGAAUUUUUUUUGUUCAAACAGAAAUUUCAUUCAUAGAAGCUUAAAAUGGGUUAUACGCCCAAAGGGCUUGUUUUGCAAUUGAGCCGGCCCUAACAUUUACCGAUCUUGGAAUAAAACAAAAGAAAUAGACUUAAAUGAGGACAACAUAAGGUAGAUAUCACAGAGUGCGCCAUAGAUCUAAAGCUUCAUUUCCUUCUUGUUGAUUGUAUUGAUGAGGAUUUGAAAGUCUGAUAGUACUGAGAUGGAGUAGAGUCCGUGAGAGAGGACAGAGGUUAUGGCUAUAAGAACUGCCAUGGUUUCUGCCCUAAGGGGCGAAGAGACGAAAGUCGCAAUCGCUGCAUGUUGAGAUGUUGAGACCAGAUUGUAGAACCUAAAAUCUACACUAAGUAUUUGAUAGUGAUCGGGAGUUUGAUCUAGGGAAGACAAAAGAUGUAGGUAACGAUAUCUUUAGAACACAACGAUGUUCACAGUUUCCAGUAGGCAAAAAUGGACUUUAUUGAUGAAUAGGAUCGAAUACAAUAAGUUGAACUAGAUCGAAUUACACAAGUGAGAUUAGUAAAGAAAAGGAUCUAAGAACAGGAGAAAACAAGGUCGAUAUAUGUGUGUAGCUCUCUCUAGGGUUUUCAAUGUCUCCCUCUUCAUGUCCCUUCUUCUUCCUUUAUAAGUCGACCUCGUGAUGUUCGUAACGGUUCCGAGAUCUCCGUCUCUUGUUCCGUGAUCUCCGAUGACCUCGACGACUCUUCUUCGAACUCGACUAUUUGCUAUGGGCUUCAGCUCACUAAGGUCCAUGUCUUUUAUCGCGGCCCGUUAAGGUAUUACCCAAAAUUGGGUCCAACAUUUGUCCCCCAGCCUCUUUUGAUUGGAUCGAAAAGAAAAGAGGCGGUUAUCAUUUAACUCGGGUCUCGUCGCUUGGUAACCGAUAUCGCUCAGAUUCUAUUUAAUGAUGGCUUUUGAAAAAGCAGUUUGUUGGUGCGUUUUUUUAUUAUUAUUUUAAUCGGUAACGGCUAUCUUUGCCGCCGCCAGGGUGUAGACUAGGUCAUCAUUGUUUUUCUUGAAAGCGAUGAUGGAGCCGUUAAGGUGGCUUAUAUAUACGUAGAGGAUCUUCUUUUUUUCCUCAAUUUCGUUUCCUCCUUCUCGUCUCUUUCUUUUGCUCUGAAAUUCUCUGUUCGUUGAGCUUGAGAUGUCUUCGUCGUUCAAUUUCCCUCGUCCAACUACUAAAGCCUAUGAUCUCGAGGACCUUUACACGGCGUACGGGGUCGAUCGCACUGUCGUUCUUGACUUGGCCGGUACGCAUGAGACUCCUGAAACCGUGCGAGAAGGCUACUACAGAGCCUUUCUUUCUUUCUUUCACUCUUGUGGUCUUAUCUUCCCGAUCCCUGAGCCAAUACUUGAGAUUCUGGCGGAGCUUGGGUUAUCACUUACUCAGAUCCUCCCAAACAUUCUUAGGUAUCUUAUCGCCUUCUUGGUUAGGGCUAGGGAGGAAGGUCUUUCUUUUGGCCUUAGUGAGUUCCGACAGCUCGUUCUGGUGAAGCGGAACCAGCAGAACCCUGGUACCUUCCUCGUGUCUCCGCGCUCAGGUUGCCACGUCAUCGAGGACAUCCCUUAUCGCGAUGAGAAGUGGCACGAACAGUUUUUUGUUUUCAAGAUGGAUCGAGCAUCCAUGGGUGAUUUCGACUUCUCUCGGCUUCCUCGGCGUUGGGCCGAGAAUAUCAGUUUGUUUUCUUUUAUCUAUGUGUCGAUUUUUCUCUUGGGGUAAUUGGUGACUCAACUUUUCAUUUUUCUUCGAUCGAUUCAGCUCCUUCUGGAAGCUCCUCGAUGUCAGACAAGAUUCGUGGUCUGAUCGGGAUUCUUCGGAGAGAUCGUUCGAACUGGUCAACAUUUGACCAAGCUCGGAUUCGAGCUGUUUUUGCUAUGCCGGAGGGGACCGACAGUGUAAUAACCCUCACUAGCCAAUAAAUUUUUGGUCGAGAAAAAUCCCGCUCGACCAGUUUUUAGUUGGUUCGACAAGGAUUAAUAAAAAUAAAAAUCAACGAGGUAGAUUAAUUUCUCGACGGGACUGUCUUGUGGUCGAAUGACCUUCACUUGAUAGUUUGGUCGAGUCUUAAAUAUUUUGGUAGAAUUUUUGUUAAGCUGGACGAGAUUUUUUUAGAACAAGACGAGAGCCAAAGACAAGGAAUAUUUGGUUGAAAAAUUAUUUAAAAUUAUCGACCAACUUCCGAAAUAAAUUUUAGAACUAAGUUAUAUCCUUCACCAGCCUGAUUGUGCACUUAUUCAGUAUUAGACUUGCACAUGCCUGCUUGCCUAGCUUCUUCAGUAACUGGCACAUGACAAUCACAAGCUGUCUGCUUGCCUUGUUUCUUAGAUUGUCAUGUGAGAAGCACAUGAAGGGGCUGGAUUUUCUUCAGGUUAAGGAAAGGACAGCAGCUUGUGCUGAGAGUGCUGAAGCAGCUGGCCAGCUGUCCCCACUCAGCCUAGCUUUGUCCUGAGUGAAACCCUCAACUGAAGCAAGCUCACCUCAUAUUUAACCCCUCUCCAGCUGCUUCCCACGUUCAAAACACUGUAGAAAAAUCUAGAAAAUUUCAGAGAGAAAAACAGUGAGAAAAAUAGAGAAAAAGUGAGACAAAAAUCAGAGGAAAAAUCAGAGAAAAAUUAUACAAGACCUUGGGCGACUUCCUUCCAUCAUGUAGCUUAGUUCCUUACUGUAUAGAAGAUCAGAAGGUGAAAAUCCAGAGUAAACCCUAGGCCUUGUUCUGUUUUUGUGAAGAACCGAUUUUGAUUUAUGUUUUAUUUUAAAUCAGUUCAGUGGGGAGUUCAGUUAAGGGGGAGAACCAUCUGAGUUCUUCUGUCAGUCAGUUGUUGUGGUAAGCUUCAUCUCCUUGCCUCAGACCAGUCUUGAUCAGAACCAGUUCAUGUUUAGCUAGGGUGUUGGUCGGAUCACUUGUCUAAGUGAUUAUAUAGUUCAGUUUGUUAGUUUCGGUUUGGAUUAAUUUUCUGUAAACCGCUAGCUAACUGAUGAAACUGUCUAGACCUAAGCUGAACUGAACUGAUCCUGUACUGAAUAAACCUUGUCUGAACCGAGCUGAUCUGAUUUAGGAUGAGUAGAACCAAGCAUGGACUGAGCUGAUAUGAACCUAGAUAAACUAUUAUAGCUUGAACCAAACUGAUCUUGUGAUCAUUCACUUUUGUUUCAGGUCAGAGGUGGAGUAAGGCUUUAGGUAUCCAACCAGUUCCAAGACUAAUCUCUUAGGUGACUCUAGAAAGAUAUUGAGAUUGAUUAAGUUAGUAAAGUCUCUGAAAUUUAUAAGAAUGGUGUUGUGUUUACUUAUUGUGAACUUCAUAUAAAGAGUAACCAAAAUUUUAAAGUGAGGUUAAUCCUAAUCUUAGUACUUGUUCACAAGUAGUAAUCUUAACUAUGAAAUAAUCAUGGUUUAAUUAAGGAUUAAUCUUGGUUUAAUUAAGAAUUAAUAUUGGUUUAAUUAAGAUUUAAUCAGAGAUUAAUUAAGAAGUAAUCAUGAUUAAUUAAGUACUAAUCUUGGAUUAAUGAAGAUUAAUAUGAGAUUAAUUAUGGAUUAAUCUGAGAUUAAUUAAGAGUUAAUUAUGAUUAAUUAAGGAUUAAUUAUGGAUUAAUUUUGAAAUGAUUAUGGAAGUAAAAUCAUGUGAAGUCUUGUUAUAUUCACUAUCCCUAAAUUACCCGCAUUACCGUGACUUGGUCCUGCGAACGGAACAAGGUUAUGAAGAUACGAUGAUGGGGUAGCUCCCUGGAGACCAUGUACUGCAUGACGAUGCAGUGUCGGAUUGUUCAUACCAGACAUUCGACAAUGAGGGUGAUGCUAACUCACUAGUCUCGGUUAGCCUUAGUGGUUUCUCGGGUCUAGUAUAUAUAUAUAUUGUAUUAUAUGAGUAUGGUAACAGGCGGGUGUUGUGGAAGUGAUGUUUAAAAUAGGAAUUCACAAUGAUGAUCGAUAUUAAAGUAUAGUACUAGUACUUGCAUGAUCAUGUAUAUGCAUUUGAUAAUUGUUUGGUUUAUUAUUGAUUGUGUUGUGAUUCUAGAUUCACUGAGUAAACUAGUUGCUCAUGACUCAUUCGUGUGUGAAGGUAACCCUUAGGGGAGAGACACUUUACUCUUUUGGACGGAAGGAGCGGCCAACCAGCGGUAGUAUUUUGUUGUCCUUGCAACGUACGUUUUGAUGAAUAUUUACUUAAAACGUUGUUGGGCGAUAGGCCGUAGGGUAAACUAUAACAGUUUGUAAGAUGUUUAAAGUAAAUAAAUAAUGUAUAAAAGAUGUUUAUAAAUCACGAAUUCUCAUAUGAUAUUAGUCCUUGUCCGGGACGAACUAACUAUCGAAUAUUGCUUUAUCGAGUUGAAAAGCCUAGAGUAAUAUCCGAUAGGAGUGUCUGUGUUCUUUGGUUGUUGGUCUAAGGUGAUCGGAUUUAUUUCGAGAACCUCGGGUCGACCAUCAGGGAACAUCGACCGUGUCAUUUCUGGUUAUCUACGAUCGGGGGUGUCACAGACAGGGCUCCUUUGGUUGGGGGUUCUGAGGAUGAGGCCGAAAACUCCGAGGAAGUCAUAGCGACUCCUUCCGUUCAGACCCAGUCUUCAGAUCGAUUAACUAGACAGCUUGUGAGGAGGUCGUCGUUCUGCACUUUCGGGUCUGCAUCGAGGGGCCGAUCUUCUGGAAAAUCUCCCUUGAUCUCGAUUCACGACUCUGACGAUGAAGAUGUUUUGGGAGAGAGGUGGCCUCCUGUCUCGUUGAGCCCUGGCUUGGAAGACGAGAUCGUUGCGGCGACUCGCAAACGACGCCGGUCGUCGGAGGGUGCCUUGCCCGGUUCAUCUCGUCCUAGGUUUGUUCCUGAGGGAGAUGGUUCUUUGUUUUGCGGCCCAAAGUGACCUAAUUUCCCUCGCUGGUCGUAUGAGGUCUGCGGGUUGCCGUCACCCAUCUCUUGCUUCCUCAGCCGAGAAGGAACCCUACGCCAAGGUUGCGGUGGCGAGCUCUAAGGUACGUCUCUUGCCUUAUUUUCCUUAAAAACUUGCUUCGAGGUGUUCGCUCGCUUAUUUCGACUUCUUCUCAGGUGAUGGAAGCUUUUAACGACUACGUUGUGGUGAUGGAAGAUCACGUCGUGGCUUCUCAGAAUGACGGAGAGAUCGAGAGCAUCGGUUCCAAGAUCAAGAGGCUUUCGAAGGAGCUCGAAGCCACCAAGCGAGAAGGGAAGAAGGAUGCCGAAAAGAUUGAGGCUUUGACUGAAGAUUGCAGGAGAAUUCACCUCGAGAACGAGGCUCUUAUGACCCAGAUGGUUGCUCAAAAGGCUAGAAUCACGGCGCUCGAGGUCGAGAGAGAUCGGGACAUUCGUCGCGCUUCCCGUAUUGCUCGUCGUGCUAUGGCGACCCGGUACCGGGAAAUCAUUGAGUCCUUGAAGGAUAAAUGGACGAGCAAGAAUAAGGAAGUAUCUGCUGAGAUCCAGCUGCAAGAAGUGAUCGCCAACAUCGAUCUUCUGAACGAGCUCAAGGAUGGGGGCCUGAGUGUGGACGCAGAGCUUGCUCGUUUAAAGGAGAUGGAAGGAGAUUGUGAGGAUCUCGUCGCUUCAGCCUCCGUGUCGGAUUGGUCGAUCUCCGAGCUCGAUCUUCCUCAAGUCUCAGAUGAUUCGCCGGAUCAAGUCGGGGGAUCGUCUGUCCCCGAUGAUUCCGCUUCUAGUUAAAUUUUUUCUUUUCUUUUUUUUUGUUUAAUGUUUUUUUGUUUUUCGCGAUCUCUGAUCGUGGUAUCUUGGAUAUUCUUAACGGAUAAGCAUAAUGUUUCGGAAUAUCUUUGUUUCUUUAACCUUUGAGAUUUUCUUUGUUUGGGUCGUUGAGAUACGGCGAGGCCUUGAUCCUUAUAAAGCUUUGCUUUGUUCUGGGACUUACCAUAGUGUGUCGUUUAAUUUUGUUUUUUUUCUUGUCAACGGAACAUGGCUUCGAGAAGAUCAAACCCCUGUGAUUCUGAUAGGGUGUGAACUUGAACUGGUAGUGCUAAUGCGGAACGCUCACAUAAGUUCUUCGUGAGGAGACCCGACUUCCGCAGGCUUCAACCCAAGAGGCCAAGGACCUCGAGGGUGAAAAGUCUGUUGCUCGUGUUAAGUCGAGUAGCCCAACAGGUUCCGAGGGGCGUGACCGCCCCCGAAGAAGGUGAAGACGAAUGGCUCGGACCAUCGUCUCGGUGUCUCAGGUGAAGCGGCUGUUUCUAAACCGUUUCAUUGGCAGUUCUCACACUCUAAGGAUUUCCCUAUUACGGAAGAUCCGAACAGUUUUGCUCACUUGGUGAGGCACUUCAAACCUGCUGGAUGUCCGCUUCCUUCUUUACAAAAUAUGACGGAACGCGAGGUUUAUGUAAAAAUGGCAGUGGUUCAUGCUAAGGUCGUUCUUUUUGACACUCGAUCCUUGCUGAAUCUUUGGUUCGUUUUCUCUGUGCUGAUUUGCUACAUUCCAGGCUAUGGAGGCUAACAACGAGUUCACAGCGACUUUGGAAAAGCGCAUGCAAGAUGUCUCGGGCUCUGACGAGCUUUACGAGAUAAAGAAGGUCGUUCAAGAGCUAAAACUCGGUUUGAAGAUGGCUCAAGAUCCAGAACGUGAAAAUGCCGCUCAACUGGCCGCUGCUGAGAAAUUGGGGAAUCAGGCUGCUUCGCUCGAAGCUCGUCUGCGAGUUGUGAGUAAUGAGAGGAAAUCGGCCCUCGAGCAAGUUUCCUUUUUGGAAGCGAAGGUUGAAUCUUCUGCUAAUAAGUUCUUUGACGACUUCGUCGCACAACUUAUGACGCUAAAAAAGGCUCUAGCGGACAACUACUUGGACGUGUUGGUAUCUUUGAAGGAAAAGUGGGAGAAGAAGAAGGCUGCAACUGAUUAUGAAGCUCGUCUUAGGGAUGUUAUGGUAAAUAUAGAUCUCUUGAAGGAAAUCAUGAACAACAAUCUUUUGGCCUCGGACGAGUUGUUGCGACUUCGAACGAAGGAGGUCGAGCUCGGGUCCGAGCUCGAUGUGAUGGCGGAUUUGGAUUUUUCCGUUGGAAAGCUCGAUUUGCCUAAAAUUUCGAAGGAUCUGCCAGAAGAUUUCUUUGCUAGGGACUCUUCUGCGGCGAAUGGUACGAAUGACGUGACGAAGUGCUCGGGUGGUCAAUUCGAGAAUGGCGAAUUCGGCAUCGAAGAGUAGCUUUAGGGGUUUUUUGUUUAUGUUUUCCCUUUUCGCUUUUGUUGCUUUAUUUAUUAUUUAUUAAUAAAGAGUGGAUCGUGAGUCCCGAUUUGUUUUGCCGUUAUUUUUGAGCUUAUGCGAGGCCAAUCUUUUGGGGCCGUGAGUCGAUCUGCUGUAGAUACUUUUAUCGACUGUUUUGGUGUAACAAAAUAUUUUGUUAUCUAACUUUGUCACGCUUGUUGGCGGAGUUGGCCGCAACCGAAGACUUGAUCAAGGUCUUGGUUUUAGGUCAACUGUAAUGGUUUUGCGAUUUGUAGAUAUAGGGAAUCUGAUAUGCUCGAGCUGCGAUAUCUAAGAACUGUAUUUAUUAAGAUGUUUGGUUUUGUUUUAUUACAGAUUUGUGAAAAGAAGACAGUUUAGUAUUAUCGUGUCGUUGUUCACCGUCUGCGGUGGUAUGCUUACUCCGAGCUGUUGUAGUUGGAGGGUGACUGGACUCGUGUCAUGAGUUGUCUACGUACCCUCAACGAGGGAUCAAGUCAUAAUGUAGUUCGAUUAUUUUCCCUGAGACAGGGUCUGUUGGUCGGUGGUUCGUGUAUUGGUGGUUUUGGCCGCUCGGCUAGGGGUGUUGCUCGAUGUCUUUGAAGCUUGCGAGGUAGCAUGUUCUGGAGCUCUUCUGACUUCCUCUGAUAGUCUCGACUCCUUUCGGGGAUGGAAAUUUUAGGCAUUGGUGAUAUGUUGAAGGAACUGCCUUCAUGCUAUAUAGCCAAGGCCUCCCAAGGAUUGCGUUGAACGGGGCUGCACAGUCUAUCACGAUGAAUUCUACGAUUUUCCUAAUUUCUCCGGCGGUUACUGCGAGUUCGAUUGACCCGAGGGAAUAGGUGGUCUCUCAUACGAAUCCGAUGAGGGGUGUUCGUUCUUGUUUUAGGAGUGCUUUGGUGAAUCUCAUUCUUUUGAACGCGUCGUAGAAGAGGACAUCAGCCGAGCUUCCGGUGUCGAACAUUACUCGAGAUAGUUCGCAGCCGCUGACGUCGAGUCGUAUUACGAGAGCAUCGUCAUGUGGUUUAUCGAGAUUUGCGGUCUCGUUUUCGUCGAAGGUGAUUUCAUAAUCGGGACCUGAUAGGGGCUCUCUUAUUCCUACGCUGUUUUCGGCUCUUCGUUGGUACGCUUUGAAAGAGUUGACAGAAUUGCAGAACUUGGAGCCUCCGUAAAUGAAGUCGAUUCAUCUUUUGCCUUUGUAGUGGGCCGGGAGAUUCCAUCCCUUAGUCAAUGGUGGUCGGUAGCGUCUCUGCCCCCCAGACAGAUUGCGAUUAAGGGUCUGUAUUCUGUCUUUUUUCUGAAUCUGUAGGGCAAUCGAUUUUUCUAAUAGCUCGCGAAUUUUGGUCAUUUUGUUCUUUCGUUUGAAGUUGGGGAUUUUUCCGCGAGGGGACUCUGUGUUUGGGUUGUACUGAGUGACGCUGGGAGGGGGAGUGGCUUCAUCGGUUUUUUCUAAUGUGCGGAUUGCUAUUGUGAUCUCGAAACGAAUUUUCCCUUCAGUCUGGCUCUUGAUUUCGUCGGUUGCGUUGUUGUUUGGCCCCCACGAAAUCAUGUCGACUCUUUUCUUCGGACUCCCUGCCUCUUUUGUUUGUUGGGACUUUGGCCUUUCGGUUGGAUUUUGGAGUCACUGGCUCUUCUUCUUCUUCUCCGGCUUCUUCAGUGGUUUUCUUAUUUUCGUUUUGACUAUGAAGUGCGGCUCGACAUUCUUCGGUCGAGUGGCCCUUGCGAUCAUGGAAGGCGCAGUAUUUGCUGAGGUCGUAUGUUGAAGACUUUUGCGGUGAAUUAUUUAUUGCAUAGGAAUGUUACCCUUUGGUGGUUGGCUCUUUAGGAGUAGCAGGUCUUUUGGUUGCGUUGUUCUUGUUCGCGCAAUACUGUUCUUUCAAGGCUGCGACCUCCUCCUCAUGGGUGGCGAAAUAAGAGGCUCGGCGUAGGGCGUCAUCCAACGAGAUAGGUGCUCGUACUACCAAUUCUUCCCUGAACUUGGAUGAGAACCAGACGCCGUUCUUUCAUGCCGCGAGGGCAACGACCUCGUUUGGAUGUGAGAUCUUGGCCUUGAUUUCUCGGAAUUUGUUUAUGUAUGCUCUUAAUGGCUCGAAAGGCGCUUGUUUGAGAUUCCAUAGAUCUGCUUCGGUAACUCUUGUCUUUAUGAAGACUGAGUACUGUUUGAGGAAAGUAUAUACCAACUGGGUGAAAUUGUCGAUUGAAUUUUCUUCUAGUCCUGCGAACCACUCGAGGGUGGCCCCGGUGAGGUUCUCGGUGAAGAAGCGGCAGUAACCUGCUUCUUUUUCGUCGUCAGUGAGUUGUUCUCUUGAUAUUACUAAAUGGAAGGCUCGUACAUGGGCCUUCGGGUCUGUGUUUCCGGUGUAUUAGGGGAAUUUCAGUUUCCCGACGUGAUGCAGCCUUACGCUGGCAAUUCUGUUUGUGAAUGGAGUCCUUCUCGUUUCCUCGAUGACCAUGUCGAUAUCGGGGGAAGAGCUCGUUGCCAUAUGCACGAUCGCAUGUAUCCUUUUGAGCUCGGCGUCGUUCCUUUCGAUAUAAUUCUGAAACUUCCUAGUUUCGCUCGGGAUCCCUAAGUCUUCCCAUUGGGGGUCGAUAUUGACGGGACCGCGAAUAUCGUGUCUCCGAGCUUGUUUCGUUAGGUUAUUGAAUCCCGCUUGAUGGAAGGUCCUCGUUACGGAUGGAGUUUGAUUCUCGAAGAUAGAAUGGUUCGGUGGUGGGAUCCGUGUCCUUGGCUCCCCUUGCCUUUCCGUUGAUCCGUUCUGGAAUUGGAUCGGAGUGCUUCGUGGGCGUUGGAGCCCAUUGUCGAUUUCGUCCAAUCCAUUUUAGCUUAAGCUUCGGUGGGUCAUGCUUUGCGGCGGGGGUCGUUGUGAAUUUUCUCCCGUGUAGCGUCCAGAUCGAGCGCUUGGGAUCUAUGGAGUACCGAACAGUCCGGUGCUUUGGGGGUUUGACGUCGCUCUUAACGGAUCGAGGGGCGUUUGAUUUCUUUCUCGAGUGGUUGCAGCUCGAUGCUCUGCGAGUUCCCUUUCAACUUGGUCCAGUCUGUUAGCAAUGGUUUGAUUGGCGAUCCUUAGACUACGAAUUUCGUCGAUUAGAGUCGUCAUCAUUCCUCGAAGUUCGGUUAAUUAUCCUCGAGUUUGGGCUAGAGGAGUCGGCGAAAUCGGUCUGGAUUGGGAUCAGGUCAGGUCAUCAGAGGAUUGUCUGUCUCCGGAAUGGUUCCAGACUCGAGCUCCAGCUCGUUCCGGGAUUGACGUCUGGUUGAUCGGAGGAGAUCGAUCUUGACUCGAAGUCCCGAUUGGAGGGAUUCGUUGCGUCUGGGCUGUUUCGGUCGUGUCAUUUGCUCCCGUUAACCCAGUUGGUGUCACUCCGUUUCCCGAGUCGGGUCCGAUAGGAUCGAUGUCGUUGACUCUUGAAGGUGCGGUUCCGGUGGUUUGGUUAGGAUCCAUAGUCGCGCUUAAGAAACUUAGAUCGGUUUCCUAGCAAAGAUAUUUUUCGUUUAUCUUCCCCACAGUUGGCGCCAAAAUGUAGAACCUAAAAUCUACACUAAGUAUUUGAUAGUGAUCGGAAGUUUGAUCUAGGGAAGACAAAAGAUGUAGGCAACGAUAUCUUUAGAACACAACGAUGUUAACAGUUUCCAGUAGACAAAAAUAGAUUUUAUUGAUGAAUAGGAUCGAAUACAAUAAGUUGAACUAGAUCGAAUUACACAAGUGAGAUCGGUACAGAAAAGGAUCUAAGAACAGGAGAAAACAAGGUCGAUGUAUGUGUGUAGCUCUCUCUAGGGUUUUCAACGUCUCCCUCUUCAUGUCCCUUCUUCUUCCUUUACAGUAAGUCGACCUCGUGAUGUUCGUAACGGUUACGAGAUCUCCGUCUCUUGUUCCGCGAUCUCCGACGACCUCGACGACUCUUCUUCAAACUCGACUAUUUGCUAUGGGCUUCAGCUCCUUAAGGCCCAUGUCUUUGAUCGCGGCCGGUUAAGGUAUUACCCAAAAUUGGGUCCAACACAGAUCAUCAAUGAUCCAACCAAGUUCUGUGUCGCCCAUUGAGGAGUUUCACACUGCAUCUGUGAAGAUCGAGCAUAGAUCGGGGAAUCUGGGGUGUUGUUCAAUUCUGAUCAAAGGCAUCGACGGUUUCAGAUUUCAGGGGGGUUGAGCCAUCAUCCAUUAUCUGGCGUCGGAGAUAGCUUUCUGGAAUGUUUCUACAGGGGCAAAGCUCCGUUUUUCAAAGAUGAGAUGGUUCCUUGAGCGCCAGAGAGACCAACAGAUCCAUGCUGAUAGAGUUCCUACUCCGAUUUCCACUGGUGGCAAAGAAGGUAUUUUUUGAACCAUUUCCCAUCCCUCAUGGAAGUUAUUGAAAGUAUGAGGGUUGAUACAGCUUGAUGUUGGAGAUAAUGUCCAUACCUUUUCUGCAUAGGGACACUGCAACAGGAGGUGCGUCACUGAUUCUUGUACAUUGCAUCUUGCAUAGAGAGCAGAGAUAGGUAUGUUUCGAUCGAAAAUUAUUUUCCUACUGGGAUUUCCAGAUGAAGACUUUGAUUUUUUUUCUGAUGUUUUUGUUCUAGACUAGAGAGCCAGUCGGGUACAGCAGCUUGGUAUGUGGGGAGUGUCUCGGAGCUCUUUUCUGUGAUUUCAGGUAACCUGACCGUGUAGAGUAUUCUCCAGAUGGUUUUUAAGCCAGACUAAAGCAUCAGCGACUCUUAGUUUGCUAGGUCUUAUCUUUAGGAUUUGUUCCCUAAGGAAAGAUAAACUAAGCUCGAACUUUUCUAUGUCCCAUUAAGAAGUACCUGGCAGGAGCAGAUCAGAGACUUUGAGUUGUUGUAAUGCCUCUGGUGCUGGUCAAAAAGGAUUAAGCUGCUCGCAGUGUGAGAGCCACAGAUCAUCCCAAACAUUAAUUGACUCUCCUAUUCCCACCAUCCAUCCCAGCUGCUUAGUAAGGAGAUCUCUGCCUAUUAAAACGCUUCUUCAUCCAUGCGAGGAAGAAGAAGACGCAUGACAUUUCAAAAAAGGUUUCGAGUGACAAUAUUUUUCAGAGUACGCAGCGUGCAAGGAGACAAGUAGGAUUCUUUAAAAUACGUCAGCUAAUCUUCGCCAGUAGCGCAUUGUCGAAGGAGGUAACAUCUUUAAAAUCCAAUCCACCUUUUCUAGCCAUUUUAUCCCAAGAUAUUCAUGAUACUUUCUUUUUCCCAGGUUCUAUGUCUCACCAGAAUCUGGAAAGAGUUGAUUGGAUACUCUAGGAAAUGGAUUGUGGGAGUUUGAAGCAGGACGUAGUGUGGGAAGACAUUGGUGCCAAGACGCUUUUCAUCAUAAUCAUCUUCUUUGUAUUAGAUAAGAACUUUGUAGACCAGCUAGCUGCUCUCUGCUAAAUCAUGUCGACAACAAAGGCAAACAAAUCUUUCUUUUCACUACCAAAGUAUUCAGGGAGCCCCAUGUAUUUUACCUACUCUGCCUUCUUUUUCUCUUCCAAGGACUGAUUUCAUCAAUGCCCGCGCAUCAGGACUUGUUCUUUUGGAAAAGAAAAUUGAUGAUUUCUGCUUGUUAAUUACUAAUUAGUUGUCCAGAGACUAAAAAGAGUUAUACCUCAGAGUUCCUACUUCAAUUUACAAUAAUGACGAAAUGUGUAUUUUCAUAAAACCAUAAAAAAAUAAACACUGCACUUUUAUUUUAUUAUAAAAAACAGAGGAUAACAUUUUAUUUAGAGUUCAACGGUCACACCGCUUAGCUAGUGACUGAUCUAGACACUAACUAUUAAGCUCGAAACUACAUAGAUGCACUCGCAUUGGCGUCAUAUUCGUGGACUAACAUUAAAUUCCUCCCCACUGGUUCUUCCCAAAACUCAGACAUAUUUGUAUUAACAGGGUAGGUAAUAAGUUCACGAAUGUUCAUGGGUUGGAUAACGUUUGGAUUGGCUCCAAAGAGAAGAUGAGCGAACUGUUCCUGUGCCUUCUCUGAGUUGUGACGUCCAUCGAAGAAAAGAUAAGAUCUU
rnacentral:lncRNA from 1 species